GAGGCUCAAUCUUAUGAGGCGGCUUGUACGAGUCUUCUUUACUCUCGACAGGAGGGUGGCCAGGGUUGUGACCAUAAUGUGGUGGCUUCUCUCCCUUAGGUGGCUUGCCAACUGGGGUUGGUGGCUUGUGUUCAGGAAGUGGUUUCUCUCCCUUGGGAGGUUUACCAAUUGGGGUUGGUGGCUUGUGUUCUGGGAGUGGUUUCUCUCCCUUGGGAGGUUUAGUGGGUGACUUGUGUUCUGGAGGUGGCUUCUCCACCGGAGGCUUGUGCUCCGGUGGUGGCUUCUCCACCGGAGGCUUGUGCUCCGGUGGUGGCUUCUUGAUUGGAGGGGGCUUGGGGUAAUCAGCAAGAGAUGGGAUGGUGAGAACCACCACUCCAAGGAACAACACUAGCAAGUAUGUGGGAGACAUUUCUGAGUUUGAGCUGAUCAGAUGAUGCAAAACUAGAAGAAUUACGGGACCUUUUAUAGCAAGUAUCUCCCAAUACCCACAUGACACGUGUUACUAUGACCAUAAAUAUUAUAGGGUCCAUUUGUGCCCUACCGGGUUGAAAACUUGGACGCUUGGCCGAGGACACACCUGACUAUGGAGGACUAUUGACGUGUGAUCACAGCUUUUGGAUUUUUCUUCCUGUGCAGCUGUCUAGCGGUUGGCAUUAUUUUCUUAAUCUUAAAUAAAGGCAUAGUUAUAGAGUUGUUUAAUCUCUAAAUGGGAUUUUAUAUAUCUUCAGAUAGCCAUUAAUAUAUUUGAUGAAGAAAGACAAGUGCAUACAACAUGUAUACGGCUUGCUUCAAUCGAGUACAUUUAUGAUCAGUUUUCCUGUGCAAGUAAACCAGUUUUUUGUUCCACAACUAUUUUGGAAUCUUGUUUAUCAGUUUCUAUCAUUAUAAUGUCACAUAGGCUGCAAACUUGGGCACCCAAAGAUCUAGGUGGGCAAAUUUGUUUCAGACUUUCAAUGGUGGAUUCAGUAAUUGUUAAAAGGUGUUUCUUCAUUAAGGAAAGAGUCCGGUAAAAAUAUUGUUAAAAGGUGUCAUAGAAACUAUAAUAAAUAAAUAACUUCUUUUCCCCAUGGGUGGUGUUUCUUCUGGGGAUCAGUGACUGGUUAGGGUCACCCAAAAUGAGUCCAGAUUAAAAUUGGUUCGAGUCAAAGCAGUCUCUUUUGUCCAGAAAUCAACUAUUUUGCGCAUUGAAUGAAUCGAUAAAGAAAAAAUGAAAGCCAAAUCACACCUCCCCUGCAAAACCUAAACCCCGGUUGCUAACUUUCUAUGUUUCAGUCCUAUUCAUAUAGGAAUAUUGGUUCAAGUUUGAGAAAAAUGGCAACUUACCUAGGGUUUACUUGGUUUUGGUUUGCGACUAUUUACGCAACCAACCAUGAGUUUGACUUUAACGUCAUGGGUUGAAGCCUCCUACAAUCAUGUAUGAUAGUUCAAAGCUCGUGGAAGAAAUUAUACAGGAAGGAAGAAACCUCCAAAGCUAGCUCCAAAAGAGAAUUAUCACAUCGAUAGCUCCAGAGAUUCCCAAGGGAACUGAAUCAAAGACAAGUUCCUCACUUUUUCUUCUUUUGAGGCCAAAUAUGAACCAAGGAUCACACGACCUCAUUCAACUUCAUAAGUUUGAUUUCAUGCAGUUGAACACUGGGUGAAGGCCAUGACAAGAAUUGAUUAAAAAAUUCUACCACUCUUUUAAGUAAUGGAAGAUUAUUAUCUCUGAUUGGCACCACAACAGCACAUGCUGCUAGAUCUUUCUAGACACUCCAUGCAAUGAAAGCACAAUGGAUCUUGUAAUGAUAGAAACUAAGCCAUGCUACAGUACUAGAUGAGGGGGUAAAACUAGUAGACAUCUUUCUAGACACUCCAUGCAAUGAAAGCACAAUGGAUCUUGUAAUGAUAGAAACUAAGCCAUGCUACAGUACUAGAUGAGGUGGUAAAACUAGUAGACAUGGCUGGCAGUUGAUUACUACUCAAAAAGUACUCUUUUAUAGCUUGAAACUAACUGUUUUAAACACUUUUGAGUAGUAGUUAAUACCUUUUAACUUAAUUGGCACAUUAAGGAACCUAGCAAGGGUUACUAAUCAACAUUUGGCAAGUUUUGAUGUUUUUGGUAGCUAUUUGAUCAUUGAAACAAGCCAAGAAUGAGGGGGAAUUUUGUGAAGUCCAUGGCAAUGCAAGUUAAAGCUCAAAUACAUGAAGAAUCCAAGCUUUGGAGCACUUCAUAGCCCUUUGCCAAGCCAAUCAAAGAUGCAAGGAAGAAAACCAAAGGAAGAAAUCCAACAAUCAGCAUUUUGGCAUGGCUAUGUGAAAUUUCGCACACCAUGCGAAACCACAAGAGGCAGCCAAAGAAUUUCGCAUGGUAUGCGAAAUCUUCUUGUGCACUGACUCUGUUAGAUUUUUAUCUUCAGAUAUUUUGUGUAAUUUCCUAGUUUCUCCUUGUAACCAACUUAGAUAUUUUCUUUUAUAUCUUUUUUUAUAUUUUUUAGGUAACAUCAUAUAUAAGAGGAGAGACAUAAGGAGGAUAUGGAUGUUUUUCAUAGAACACUUGUAAAUUUUUGGUAGUAAGAAAUAUACAAAGCUUUUUGCUCUGCCUUACCUUCUCAAGGGAUGAGUGGCUAGGUUUUCUUGGAGUGAGGGAAGCUAGGUGAAGGACCUGAAUGCAAAGGUGGGAGUUUUCCUUACUUUAAAUGAAAGUAGUUGUUAAACAUUAAUGGUUUUUAUUUUAAGGUUUAGCUUUAAAUCCCUGAAAAACACCUUGAAUGGCCAAUACUUGGUAAGCUUUUUAGAUUCUAUGGAUGCUUAUUGCUAGAUCCAUGGAUGUCUAUUAGUUAUCAUUUACGAGCCAUUGGAAGGUGAUUCAAGGUGAGGGUCUUUAGUGUUUGAAGCCAUUAAUGGGAAGCAAUUACCAUUUUUUCAUGAAUCCUUUGGAUCAAAUCUUAAUUGCUAAAUAUAAAACCGGUUUCGAGAGAUAACCACCAUCCUUUAUGUUAUUAUCCCCAACGCGAGGAGAAGAUCCGAAAUCUUCCUUUUUAUCUAAGGAACCCGAUCCUAGUGACCUAAAGCUCCAAGAUACCUUUUCUUUGUAGUUAACUUCAUUUAUUGUUUUUGCUUAACUUAAAAUCAAUCUUUGCAACCACAAUUCCAUUUUCUUUAAAAGCUAAUUUUUAUAAGGAAAAACACCAUUUUAUUUCCUUCACUAAGUCAACUGUACGAUGAAAACCCAUCCCUGUGGACGAUCCUAGAGCCACUAUACUAUGUUAGCUAUGCUACCCUAGUGUGAGGUGAUUUAGGUUUUAUAAAUUUUUUUGAUAACACCCAUCUGAGCCAGAAUCAAAUGGCACGACUGAACCAGGGACGAAUCAAAUGACGCCGCUACCAAGGAUGGUGCCAAAGUACAUUGACAUGACUUUUGGUGAACACUUGUGAUCUUCACCACAAGUUUGGUGAUUUUUCUUUUACUAAUUUUUUUUAUUUUAGCUUAUCUUUUAUUUAGUUUUUAGUUAACCUUAAAUUUUUCCUAGAAUUGUAUUUCUUUUGUUUUCUUUGUUUUUGUUUCAGUGAUCUUUAGUUGUGCAUGCCCUAUUGGAUAAGAGAUAUUGAGGGAAUACUUGUGAAGAUUGAAACUCCUCGAGAAACUGAGUUAGAAGUGUGCUUGAACAUCAUGGAUGUUCCACCUGAAGACCAGAAUAGCCAACAUGGUUAAGAGGAUAAUUUCAACACAUACCGAUCCAUGAGGAACCGCAUACAUCCACCUUGUAUGAGUGCACCGUCAGGCAUAAUGCCUCCCACUGAGCAGCUAGUAAUCUGACCUCACAUUGUGCCACUCCUACCUACUUUCCAUGGGAUGGAGAGUGAGAAUCCCUACUCGCAUAUUAAGGAAUUCGAGGAGGUUUGUAAUACAUUCCAAGAAGGAGGAGCUUCAAUUGACUUGAUGAGGCUCAAGCUAUUUCCUUUCACUUUGAAGGAUAAGGCCAAGAUUUGGCUUAAUUCUUUAAGGCCAAGAAGUAUCCAAACUUGGAUUGAUUUGUAAGCCGAGUUUCUUAAGAAGUUCUUCCCUACCCAUAGGACCAAUGGUUUGAAAAGGCAAAAUUUGAACUUCUCAGUUAAAGAGAAUGAGAAAUUCUAUGAGUGUUGGGAGAGCUACAUGGAAGCUAUUAACGUUUGUCCUCACCAUGGCUUUGACACAUGGCUCUUAGUGAGCUAUUUUUACAAUGGUAUGUCUUCUUCAAUGAAGCAACUCCUAGAAACUAUGUGUGGAGGAGACUUCAUGAGUAAGAAUCCGGAGGAAGCCAUGGACUUUUUGAGUUAUGUGGCUGAAGUUUCAAGAGGAUGGGAUGAACCAAAUGCUAGAGAGGUGGGAAGAAUGAAGUCUCAACCUAAUGCUAAGGGUGAGAUGUAUGUUUUGAAUGAAGACAUUGACAUGAAAGCAAAGGUUGCAGCUAUGGCAAGGAGAUUGGAAGAGCUAGAAAUGAAGAACAUACAAAAAGUGCAAGCCAUUUCUGAGACAUCAAUGAAAGCUAUGCCUUGUUCCAUUUGUCAAUCUUAUAAGCACCUAGUGGAGGAGUGUCCUACAAUUCCAGCAGUGAGAGAGAUGUUUGGUGAUCAAGCAAAUGUUAUUGAUCAAUUCAAGCCUAAUAACAAUGCUUCAUAUGGCAACACCUACAAUUCAAAUUGGAGGAACCAUUCAAAUUUCUCUUGGAAACGAAAGCCACCUCAAUACACACAACCUACUCAAGCACCUUAGCAAUCCUCGAAUCUUGAACAAGCUAUUGUGAACCUUAGCAAGGUUGUGGGAGACUUUGUGGGAGAUCAGAAGUCCAUCAAUGCUCAACUGAAUCGGAGAAUUGACAGUGUGGAGAGUACAUUGAACAAAAGGAUGGAUGAGAUGUAAAAUGAUCUGUCUCAAAAGAUAGACAAUGUCCAAUACGUAAUCUCAAGGCUUACCAACCUCAACACAGUGUAAGAGAAAGGAAAGUUUCCUUCUCAACCUCAUCAAAAUCCUAAGGGUAUCCAUGAAGUAGAGGCUCAAGAGGGAGAAUCUUCAAAGGUGAGGGAAGUCAAAGUAGUUAUCACCUUGAAGAGUGGUAAAGAGGUUGAUCAACCCACAUCCAAGCCAAAGCAUAAUGAAGAGAGUGUAGCAGAAAAAGAAAAGAGAGGAAAAUAAAGGAAUUAGAAUAGAGAAAAAUACAAAGAAAGAUGACCAUGAGUCUAGUGUGGAUGAAGAGCCCGAGAGGAUGGUGAUCAAGGAAGAUAUGAUGAAGAAACACAUGCCUCCACCUUUCCCCUAAGCUUUGCAUGACAAAAAAAGAACCAAUAAUACAUCAGAAAAUUUUGAAGUAUUGAGGCAAGUGAAGGUCAAUAUCCCUUUGCUAGACAUGAUCAAACAAGUGUCGACAUAUGAAAAAUUCUUGAAGGACUUGUGCACUGUAAAGAGAGGGUUGAAUGUGAACAAGAAAGCUUUAUUGACCGAGCAAGUGAGUUCCAUCAUACAGUGCAAGUCCUAGUGAAGUACAAAGAUCCGGGUUGCCGUACCAUCUCAGUGAGUAUUGGAAGGACUUGUGUGGAGAAAGCUUUGUUGGACUUGGGAGCAAGUGUGAAUUUGCUAUCCUACUCUGUCUAUAAGCAGUUGGGAUUUGGAGAGUUGAAGCCAAUAUCCAUCACUCUAUCUCUAGCGGAUAGAUCAAUGAAGAUUCCAAGAGGGAUGAUCGAAGAUGUCCUGGUUCAAGUUAACAAAUUCUACUAUCCAGUAGAUUUUGUUGUUCUUGAUAUGGAUCCGGUUGUCAAAUGAACUAAUUAUGUUCCUAUCAUACUUGGAAGACCCUUCCUAGCUACAUCAAAUGCAAUCAUCAAUUGUAGGAAUGGAGUCAUGCAACUCACAUUUGUCAACAUGACAUUAGAGCUCAACAUCUUCCAUUUGUACAAGAAGCAUAUCCAUCAGGAGGAAAAAGAAGGUCUAGAGGAAGUGUGAAUGAUUGACACUUUAGUGGAAGAGCAUUGUGAUCGAGAAUGCAAAAAGAUUUAGUUGAGAAUUUUGGGGAUCUUGAUGAAAGGUUACUUGAACCCUCAGAUUUGCUUGCUACCCUACUCCAUUGGAAGAGAAGAGAAGAAAUUCUACCCUUAUUCAAUGAGGAGGAGACGCAAAGAGCUGCAAAGGAGAAACCCCCAAAACUUAUUCUUAAGCCACUACCCACAGAGUUGAAGUAUGUAUACUUGGAAGAAGACAAGAAGUGCCCUAUUGUUAUAUCUUCAACUCUUACCAUUCAUCAGGAGGAUUGUCUACUUGAAGUCCUUAGAAGAUGUAAGAAGACAAUAAGGUGGCUAAUUUCUUAUUUGAAAGGGAUCAGCCCUUUAGUCUGCACCCAUCAUAUUUACAUGGAGGAUGAAGCUAAGCUAAUUCAUCAACCUCAGAGAAGGUUGAACCCUCACAUGCAAGAGGUGGUUCGAGCUGAAGUUCUGAAGCUACUUCAGACCAGUAUUAUUUACCCCAUAUCAAAUAGCCCAUGGGUGAGUCCUACUCAAGUUGCGCCAAAGAAGUCUGGGAUCAUGGUGGUGCAAAAUGAUAAGGGAGAAGAUGUCUCUACACGCCUCACUACAGGUUGGAGGGUGUGUAUCAAUUACAGGAGGUUGAAUGCAGUGAUAAGAAAGGACCAUUUCUCAUUGCCCUUUAUUGAUCAGGUGCUUGAGAGGGUCUCUGGGCUUUUUUUUUUAUUGUUUCUUGGAUGGCUACUCCGGGUACUUUCAGAUAGAAAUUGAUGUUGAAAACCAAGAUAAGACCAUUUUCACAUGCCCAUUUGGAACCUAUGCAUAAAGGAGAAUGCCUUUCGGCUUAUGCAAUGCACCCGCAACUUUCCAAAGAUGCAUGUUAAGCAUUUUCAGUGAUAUGGUGGAGCGUAUUAUGGAAGUCUUUAUGGAUGAUAUCACCAUUUAUGGAAGUGCAUUUGAUGAAUGCUUGGUCAACUUAGAAGCUGUUCUGAACCGAUACAUUGAGAAAGACUUAGUGCUUAACUGGGAGAAGUGCCAUUUCAUGGUACACCAAGGGAUUGUCCUUGGGCACAUUAUCUCCAAGCAAGGCAUUGAAGUUGACAAAGCAAAGGUUGAACUCAUUGUUAAGUUGCCAUCCUCAACAAAUGUCAAAGGAGUAAGGCAAUUCUUUGGCCAUGUCGGGUUCUAUAGGAGGUUUAUCAAGGAUUUCUCUAAGCUUGCAAGGCCUCUUUGUGAAAUAUUGGUGAAUGAUGUUAAAUUCAUAUGGGAUGAUGGAUUUGAAAGGAGUUUUGAAGAAUUGAAGCUAUUUUUGACAACCGUACCAAUAGUGAGGGCUCCCAACUGGCAACUGCCCUUUGAAGUAAUGUGUGAUGUCAAUGAUUUUGCUAUAGGAUUUUUUCUUGGGCAAAGAGAAAAUGGAAAACCUUAUGUGAUCUACUAUGCGAGGAAGGCAUUGAAUGAGGCACAAAGAAACUACACAACCACCGAGAAAGAAUUGUUAGCUGUAGUUUUUGCCUUGGAUAAGUUUCGCGCUUACUUGGUGGGGUCCUUCAUCAUGGUUUUUACUGAUCACUUUGCUUUGAAGUAUCUGUUGACUAAGCAAGAUGCUAAAGCAAGGCUGAUUAGAUGGAUUCUCUUACUUCAAGAGUUCAAUCUCCAUAUCAAAGAUAAGAAAGGAGUGGAGAAUGUGGUAGCAGACCACAUUUCAAGGCUAGCUAUCGCACAUAAUUCCCAUGCUUUGCCCAUUAAUGACGAUUUUCUAGAGGGGUCUCUCAUGUUGGUGGAAGUUGUCCCUUGGUACGCUCACAUUGCUAACUACCUGGUCACGGGAAAAGUUCCAAGUGAGUGGAAAGCACAAGAUAAGAAGCACUUCUUUGCAAAAAUUCAUGCCUACUAUUGGGAAGAGCCAUUUCUAUUCAAGUAUUGUAUGGAUCAGAUAAUAAGGAAGUGCGUUCCUGAAGAAGAGCAACAGGGGAUCCUUAGUCAUUACCAUGAAAAUGCAUGUGGAGGCCACUUUGCUUAUCAAAAGACAGCCAUGAGGGUGUUGCAAUCGGGUUUCUGUUGGCCAUCACUUUUCAAAGAUGCCCACACCAUGUGCAAGAGUUGUGAUCGAUGCCAGAGGCUUGGGAAGUUGACACGCAGGAACAUGAUGCCUUUGAACCCCACUUUAAUAGUUGAUAUUUUUUAUGUUUGGGGCACUAACUUCAUGGGACCUUUCCCUAUGUCUUUUGGCUACUCUUACAUCUUGGUAGGAGUAGAUUAUGUUUCUAAGUGGGUUGAGGCAGUCCCAUGCAAACACAAUGACCAUAGAGUGGUUCUCAAGUUUCUUAAAGAGAAUAUCUUCUCAAGAUUUGGGGUGCCCAAAGCCAUAAUUAGUGAUGGGGGUACUCAUUUUUGCAACAAGCCUUUUGAAACUCUCCUAGCCAAGUAUGGGGUGAAGCAUAAGGUAGCUACACCUUACCACCCUCAAACUCAUGGACAAGUUGAGUUAGCAAACAGGGAGAUUAAAAACAUAUUGAUGAAGGUGGUGAACACAAACAGAAAAGAUUGGUCAGUCAAGCUUCUUAAUUCACUAUGGGCAUAUAGAACAACUUACAAGACCAUUCUCGGGAUGUCUCCUUAUCGCCUAGUUUAUGGCAAAGCAUGCCAUCUCCCUGUGGAAUUGGAAUACAAAGCUUGGUGGGCAAUCAAGAAGCUCAACAUGGAUUUGAGCAGAGCUGGGUUGAAGAGGUUCUUAGACCUUAAUGAGAUGGAGAAAUUGAGAAAUGAUGCCUACAUCAAUUCAAAAAUUGCAAAAGAAAAAUUGAAGAGGUGGCAUGAUCAGUUGAUUUCCCGCAAGGAUUUUCAAAAUGGACAAAGAGUCUUACUUUAUGACUCUAAACUCCACAUCUUUCCGGGCAAGCUGAAAUCAAGGUGGAUAGGUCAUUUUACCAUUCACCAAGUGCAUUCAAAUGGAGUAGUGGAACUACUCAACUCCAACAAUAUCGAGAACUUCAAAGUGAAUGGCCACCGUCUCAAGCCCUUUGUGGAGUCUUUUUCUCACAACAAGGAGAAAUUCAUCCUCCUUGAUCCACAUCAAGCUUAACAAGACCAAUUUUCUUGAUGGACUUAGUCUUUCUAAAGACUAUCGAGUCCAUAACUUUUUGUUUUAUUUUUUAUUUGAGAUUUUUUCGGUAUUGUUACUUGUUUUGUUUUUUAUUUUUCGUUUUAAUUUUAUUUGGUUUGAUUUAACUUAGGUUUUUGAUGAUCAAUUACAGGGGGGAUUUCAAAUAGAGGAAAAACCAAGAUAAUUCGCACACCCUACGAAAAUUUCGCAAGGCAUGCGAAAUUUAUGGCUUAUUUUGCAUGGGGUGAAAAUUUUCGUACAUCUUACGAACCAAUUUCGAACACUUUGCGAAAAUAAACCAACCCUGCGAAAUCAUUUCGAUUACUCUACGAAAUUUUCGUAGAGCAUGCGAAAAAUUUAGCACACCAAACACCAUUUCGCAUACUAUGCAAAAACCUAAGGGGUCUGCGAAACCAUUUCGCACCUCCAAAUCCAUUUCGCACAUUGUGCGAAAACCAAGAGGCGCUGUGCGAAAAUGAAAAGUCGCCCUGUCAUCCCUUUUUAAACCCCUCGAGCCCUAAAAUCUCCAUUUCGCAAGCACCCCUGUCCUUGCGAAUCCCUCAUUUUCCUCUACUACCUUGCAACCUCGUCCCUUUCCAUUUGAUAUUGUGCCCCGCGCACAUCUCAUUUCAGAGACUCGCACUCCGCGCCCCCUCAAAGCAUGGACUCGAGACCCACCUUCCAUUUCCGACGUGGCACGGACCCAAGGAGCCCUUUCUGCCCCUUCACUAAGACACACACCAAGGCAGAAAGCCUCCUUUGCUCAAGUGCCUAGUGAUUCUCCAUCUUAGGCCUCAGAGGCCUCGGAGGCCCCGUGGAUUCCACCUUCCGAGGGUAGAGCAGCCAUUGGUCCUUCCUCUUCUACUCCUUAGCGUAGAUACGAGACGAGGAGACCACCUACUACACAAGGGGCGACUACUUCGAGCCUUGAGAAUUCAGUACGAUGCCUUCCUGCCAAGAGGGUCAAGACUUCAGGUCCAAGUGAGUCAUCCAGAGCUUCAUAGCCUAAGCCUCCUGUAGAUUCCAAGGUUCCUACUGACAUAUCACCGGAGUCUAUUAUCAGAAGCCCGAUGCUCAUAGCACCGCCCAUUGAGGGCAACUCAGAUUAUAGAGCGAGAUCUUUCCACUUGGAGCUAUAUUUUGAUCAGGAGGCCAUACGACAGCAGCCUGAGCUCCGAGACUCUUAUGGCUUACUGCAGAGGUACCAUCUUGAGGAACUUAUGACUCCUCGUGAGUUUUUUUAUCCCAGAGUAGCACUAAACUUUUACCAGUCCAUGACUACUCGUGGCGUCCCGAGUCCUACCACGAUUCACUUCACCAUUGAUAGACGUCAUGGUAUCCUCAAGGCCAGACAUAUUACAGAGGCUCUACAAAUUCCUUUCGAGCUAGAGGAUCCAUCUGUUUUUCGCUAAUGGUCCCCAGUAUCUCAGAGGGACAUGGUCCGUAUUUUAUCUAGGGGAACAUCUACAGAUUCGAUCUUUCUACGGAAGGAGCUUCGACCUGGGAUGCUCCUCUUAGAUGUGGUGCUAUGCUCCAACCUCUUUCCCUUACAACAUUCGGUACAUAGGUGAUGAGCUAUUUUGGACGCUUUAUUCCGUAUAUCAGAGGGCUUCUACUUUGGCCCGCACCACUUGAUCAUGGUCUCCCUCAUCCACUUUGAGGAGAAGGUUCAUAGGAAGAAGCUUCAGAGGGUGGACACCAUUCCAUUACUAUUCCUGAGGUUACUUUGCCAGGUCUUGGAGUACAUGGGCUUUCCUACUGAGCCUCGGCUCGAGCUUUGCCGCCUUUGUCGAGAGUGAUCCACUCUCGACAAAUGGAAUUAGUUGGCGGGCUAUUCUGCACCUCCAGGAGCCCCUCCCAUGGUAGCACCUCCAAUGUCCCCACAGGCAAAGUAGGGCGAGCUCCCGGCAAAGACUGUACCACCAAUGCCCACACUUGAGGCUAUUUCUGCUGCUCUGCCUAUGACUCCUACUGUUCCACCAGUUGGUCCUUUUACAUCCGAGCCUUCCAUCACCAUCUCGGCUUCGGAGUUUCGCGCCCUUGUGCAUACCUUUCAGACACUCACCACCACACAUACUCCUCUCUUCUAGCAAAUGGUUGAGAUGUGUGCCCAUCAGGACCGGAAGACUACUAUACUCUGCCAAAUUCAGCAGCACCUAAGACUUUUGCCUCAACCUCAACCUAACCAUCCCAUAUCAUCAGAGCCUCUAGCUCCAACUGAGGAUACUAUUCCACCUGAGAACACUACCACAGUAGAGGUCCGGUUUCCACCACCUUAAGAGGCCACCACAGCUACAUCAGAGGAUGUGUCAUCUCCACUUGAGGCUCCCACUACUUGAUCAUAGGACAUAUCUUUAUCUUAUUGUAUUUACAUAUUAUAUUACUAGAGAUUUGUCCUUGUUUUGAUACUUUAUAUUCUGGGAUUGGAUGUAUUGCCUGAUGAUAUCUCAAUUGUACUUUCUCAUAUUAAUAUAUAGACAUCAAUUUUUUUUAGUAUACUUAGCAUUUUUCUAUUUCCUCUACUCAUUACUCUUUUGUUUUUUUUUACUCAUGUGGUUUCUCUUAUACAACUCAGACUCCAUUUCACUCAGGAGGUACCACUUCCUCCCUUUAUUUUCAAUUGCUCUUGAAAUAUUGAGUGCAAUGUUGAUCUUGGUUGGGGGGAGAGUUGAGGAAGGAAGUUUUGUUAAUAAUGCUAGGUUAAUUUGUUAAUUUAGUUACUUUCUGCUUAAUUUUAAAAGUUUUCACUCUACUUUCCAUGGUUAUUAAGGAAAAAUUCUCAAAAUGAAAUGGGAGAAAUCGAAUUCUUGCAUUUUUACUUGAAUCUUAGAAUUUGUAUCAUGCUUAUUAAAGUUGAUGAAUUAUUGAAACUCCUAUUGAAUUCAACCUUAUUUUUUCCACUUUAAUCUUACCACACACGGUGCACAUUAGGUUCCAGUUAUAAGAUAAAAAACUAUCUCACCCCCUAAACUUAGAAAAAUUUACACUUGGUACCUUUGACAUCGUUUUAAUAGUGUUGGGACACCUUAUAAAAGGCCAAUGAGCCUUUAAAAAAAAAAAAAAAAAAAAAAAGAGAAAGAACAAAGUAUUGCACUUGCCUUGAAACCUGAGCAAGAUCCGAGGGGUAUACAGUGAAAGUCUUUAAAACCUGGUGCCCUAAGCCUUGAUUGGUUGGGAGUCACCGACCUCAAUGCUCGUUAUAAGGGUGAAUAGGUGGAGUUUAACAUAUUGUAGGUGCUUGGGUAUUGAAUUUCAAUCUCAAAAGUCCGGGAAAAAAUCUAAGGAGUUAGUGGUCAAAAGAUCCUUAAAGCUUGAUGCCCUAAACCUUGAUUGGUUGAGAGUCAUUGAUGGAUCCCCGCUACAUGGACAUUUUAGAAAACAAUACCUUUAGCAUUGCACGCCUACAAUGAAAAAAAAAUGUGAAAUAAAAGAGGUGCGUUCUUAGCCUAUUGGAGGUUGGUCAGUUUGCUAAAGUUUGAGAAAUCUAGGUUGGGGGGAGAGAAUAGUCCGACAUACUAUAAUAAAAAACUAAUAACCUUAACACUUAGAUUUUUGUGGAAGAGUAAGGAUUGGACCUUUAGGGGUGGAAAUUCUUUUGAUGCUUAAAUUUGCAUAAUGCCUACUCUUUAUAAAUUAUGAUUAGGCAAGAGAUUUGAUGACUCUUGUUCAAAGUUGGGUUUUUCCUCUUUGAUGUUCCAUGAGAGAGUAUAAUCCUCAUCAUGCCACUUGAAAUCUUUUUGGAGUGAUUAACAUGAUUUUGUAAAUUAUUUUACUGUCUAUUUUUCUUUAUCUCUCUUUUAUUGCUAAUGGACUAGCAAUAUGUCAGUUGGGGGGAGUGAUUACUACUCAAAAAGUACUCUUUUAUAGCUUGAAACUAACUGUUUUAAACACUUUUGAGUAGGUGUUAAUACAUUUUAACUCAAUUGGCACAUUAAGGAACCUAACAAGGGUUACUAAUAAGUUUUUGGCAAGUUUUGGUGUUUUUGGUAGCUAUUUGAUCAUUGAAACAAGCCAAGAAUGAGGGAGAAUUUUGUGAAGUCCAUAGCAAUGCAAGUUAAAGCUCAAAUACAUGAAGAAUCCAAGCUUUGAAGCACUUCAUAGCCCUUUGCGAAGCCAAUCAGAGAUGCAAGGAAGAAAACCAGAGGAAAAAAUCCAACAACCAGCAUUUUCGCAUGGCUGUGCGAAAUUUUGCACACCAUGCGAAACCACAAGAAGUAGCCAAAGAAUUUUGCACACCAUGCGAAAUUUCGCAUGGUAUACGAAAUCUUCCUAUGCACCAACUCCGUUAUAUUUUUAUCUUCAGAUAUUUUGUGUAAUUUCCUAGUUUCUCCUUGUAACCAACCUAGAUAUUUUCUUUUAUAUCUUUUUUUUAUAUUUUUUAGGUAACAUCAUAUAUAGGGGGAGAGACAUAAGGAGGAUAUGGAUGUUUUUCAUAAAACACUUUUAAUUUUCUGGUAGUAAGAAAUAUACAAAGUUUUUUGCUCUGCCUUACCUUCUCAUUUUGUUUUCACCUAUCUUUCUAGCCAAACAACCUCUGAGAAUGAUUUCUCAGGGGAUGAGUAGUUAGGUUUUACGUUUCUUGGAGUGAGAGAAGCUAGGUGAAAGACCCAAAUGCUAAGGUGGGAGUUGUCCUUGCUUUAAAUGAAAGUAGUUGUUAAAUAUUAAUGGUUUUUAUUUUAAGGUUUAGCUUUAAAUCCCUUAAAAACACCUUGAAUGGCCAAUACUUGGUAAGCUUUUCGGAUUCUAUGGAUGCUUAUUGCUAGAUCCAUGGAUGUCAUUAGUUAUCAUUUAUGAGCCAUUGGAAGGUGGUUCAAGAUGAGAGUCUUUAGUGUUUGAAGCCAUUAAUGGGAAACAAUUACCAUUUUUUCAUGAAUCCUUUGGAUAAAAUCUUAAUUGCUAAAUAUAAAACUGGUUCGGGAGAUAACCAUCCUUUAUGUUAUUAUGCCCAAUGCAAGGAGAAGAUUUCGAAUCUUCUCAUUUGUCUAAGGAACCCGAUCCUAGUGACCUAAAGCUCCUAGAGACCUUUUCUUUGUAGUUAACUUCAUUUAUUGUUUUUGCUUAACUUAAAAUCAAUCUUUGCAACCACAAUUCCAUUUUCUUUAAAAGCUAAUUUUUAUAAGGAAAAGCACCAUUUUAUUUCCUUCACUAAGUCAACUGUAUGAUGAAAACCCAUCCCUGUGGACGAUCUUAGAGCCACUAUACUAUGUUAUCUAUGCUAUCCUAGUGUGAGGUGAUUUAGGUUUUAUAAAUUUUGUUGAUAACACCCGUCUGAGCCAGAAUCAAAUGGAACCACUGAACCAGGGACAAAUCAACAGCCUAUAUGGGAGGGACACAAGUUUAAUUGAUUUGCAUUUCAGCGUUAUAGAUAAGUAUGUUUUGGAAGAUUUGUUCUGGAAAUACUGCACCAAGUACGAUUCUUUUUCUCUUGAGUGAGUCCAUUUGCAUGCCAAUUAACGAGUUGAAAAGUAGGAGCACCUACCUCGUGCUCAUGGAACCGAAUGUCAGUGAAGUGGGGCUCCUUUUAGCCUCUUGUGUUUCUGUUCCAACCAAGGCGGCGUAGGGAAAAACAACAAUAUGUCUGUGCUAAAUAUCAACGCAUGAUAGAUGUUUUUUUUUUUUUUUUUGGUAUGUCAAGGCUAACGAAUGAAAUGCAUUAGCUUGUUUUGUGACUAUAACUGCAAAUGUCCAAAUUGGAGUAUCUCCAUUUCUCACUUCGGAUGGUUAACUUUAUAAACAAGAUAUAGGAAACAUGUGAACAUCUUGAGGAACAAUUCAAAUUAUUCAUUAGAAGUCCUGGGUUAAGUUCCAAGAUUUAAAUCAGACCCUUCUAGCAGCUUCAAGGGUACUUAGCAACCUAUAACAUAUUAAUGAAGAUUUAGGAUUUAGACUCCGGAAUACAAAUAAAUAUGUAUCUCAUGCUUUGACUAGCUUCCCUACAUAUGCAUAAAAUGGAGAUGACCCAAAAAAAAUAGCAGAAUCUAGCUUCCCUACAUAUGCACAAAAUGGAGAUGACCCAAAAAAUAGCAUAAUCGCCUUAGUUUCUGUGGUUAAGGUGAUUCUCCGCUUAAUAUCCACAUUGACUCAUUAUGCAAAAUCAACUGAGCUAAUUUUAUUUAUUUAUUUAAUGUCAAAUAGGAACUCCUAAUUAACUGAUUACUGUCGAAAAGUGCUAUUUUGUAGACCUAAUUAUAAGGGUUUUAAGCACCUUUGAGUAGUAAUCAUAUUCAUUUAACCUAAUUAAUUCAUUAAGCUCCUUAGUAAUUAGUUCUAACCAUUUUUAGUGGCAAGUUUACAUGUUUUUCAUCAGCUUAUGAACCAAUUCAAGCAUGCCAAUUGAUGGAGGAGCUACUUGGGCGAGUUAAGCAAGGAUUUUGGACGUUUACAGGCUUGAAUUUCAAGUGGAAACACGAGCACAAGCAAUGGGAACACCAUUUCGCAAGGGGAGGCAAUUCACCUUGCCAAAUGACCAAUUUCGCAAGGGGAUUUUCCUCAUGGUGCAAAAUUUGGUCAUUUCGCACCAUGAAGAAACCACCUUGCAAAAUUUCGCAAGGUGGAUUUAGGCACCUUGCGAAAUGCCAAAUUUCACAAGGUGGCUUUUCACCUUGCGAAAUUUGGACCUUUCAUCUUCCCCCCUUGCGAAAUGCCUUUGAAAUCCCCUGUUUUGAGACGCUGUUGAUGAUAUUCCACUGCCGGUUCUCCAAGAUAUUUUGCUUGACUUUUAGCUUUAUAAAUACCUAUUUUACCCUUGUAAUCAACCAAUGAAAAGGUUGCUUUUGUAAUAGCUCUUGUAAUUUAGCUUUUUAUUGUCUUUAAAUAGAGGUGAAGAGCCUCAGACACGAUCAUCUUGUAACCUGUAACUUUAUAAGUUAUAAGAGCACUUUUGUUCAUACGCUUCUUUUCUCUUUUCUUUCUCAUUUUCUUAGUAGCCAAACAUCCUUGGAGGAUGAAAUCCCCAAGGAUGAGAGGCUAAAACCUUUUAGUUUCUUGAAGUAAUGGAUGCCAUGUGAAGCUCCCGUGUCAGGAUGGAGAUUUCCAAGCCAUAAAUGUAAGUAGCUGAGCGUCAUAAAUGUUUUCAUUCAAAGUAAAGCUUUUAAUCCCUCUGACUUGCUUUGAAUGGCCAAUACUUGAUAACCUUUUGGUCUCAAUGGAUUCUUAUUGUUAGAUCCACUGACGUUCAUUAGUUAUCUCCUACGAGCCAUUGUAUUGCAAGUCGAGGAGAUGACCUAUACCAAUAAAAGAGCAUUUAUGAGGUUCAACUACCCUUUUUGUAAGUUUUCAAGGACUAAAACUCAGUUGUUAAACUCAUACCGGUUCGAGAAGUAAGCAUCACCUUAGUUGCUUCCCCAACUCGAGGUGAAAAGUCCCAAAAUCUCCAUUUUUACACAGUGAGUUAAGCAUGGCUAUCCAAAGCUUUAAGAAACUUCUUUUUCCAUCUUUUAACCUAUUUUCAUGUUAGUUUAGUUUACAACACCUUCAUCUUUUUAUGUUUUCAUCUUAACCUAAUUUUUAUUAAGAAAAGUUCACUCCAUCCUCCGAACUUCACCAGUUAAAGUAAAAACCCUUCCCAGUGUUCGAUCCUAGAGCCACUAUGCUAUAGUAGCUUUGCUACUUUAGUGUAAGGACCUUAGGUAUAAAUUUUGUUGAUACCCUUACAUGCCAAGCUACCAAGAGUCGGGUUAUCAUUAACCUAACCAUUGGCCUGUGUAAAUUGAUUUCACAUGCACAAUGUUGUAGUAGAAGUCCAUAUUUUGAAUUUUAUUUUUGUAAAGGUAAGGAAAAUGAAGCAUUGUGUAAUUAUAAAAAUAACUUCAUUGGAAUUCACAAGGUUCACCCAAAAUGGAGCUACAUCUGUAUUCUAUCCUACAGUAGACUAUAUAGAUUGUACAAUAGUAAAUUGCAAAUACAAUUAAUAAGUCUUGUGCUUCCUUACUAAUAAUCCUUUGACAUGAACAUUGCAGCACUAAGGUCCUCUUGGGAAGACACCUUGCACCCAUGAGAGCACUAAGAGGAAGCAAGGCAGAGUCAUGGGUGCAAUGUCAUGACUUGUUGUUGCACCAAGAGAGGCUUGGUGAUGCCAUGGUGUUGCAGUAGCAAGAAUGUUGCCUUGGCAGGGACACGAUCUAGGGAUAGAUGCCAAGAAAGGCUUAGCACUCACAUGAGUUGCACAAAGAUGAAUGUAAUAGAGCAUCAGAGAGACGUCUUGGCAAGUAAAUGAAUGGAUCCAAGAGACAACAACAUGAGGAGUUUCAAAUGGAUAAGGAAUGACUCAAAGACAUUUGAAAGCUACAAGUUGGAUUCUAAUUACGAUUGCAAUUUGAGUUUGAGUAGGAGUUUAGAUUUUGAUUGUAAUUGUAGUAUGAGUUGGACUAGGAUUGCUUAUCCUUAGUCAAUAUAGGAGCGGUUCGUGUCACCCUAUGAAAAGAGUUUGAGUAGGGACUAGGAUUGCUUACUCCUAGUCAAAUAUGGAGUAGGUGGUGCCACACCUAUAAAAAAAAGGGACAACAUGAGAGAGAGAGAGAGAGAGAAAGAGAGAGUGAAUUCACUAAAGAUAUUGUGGGAGUUUUGCUUUGUUACGUCUUGUAUUAUUACUUAGAAUAGGAAUAAAAUACAAGUUGGGGCUAGAGCCCCAUAAUUAAUCUCGUGUGCCUUUGUGGUUAUUCUUUAUUUGUCAUCUCGUGUGGAUUGGAUUAGGUUGACUUAGAGGGCUUCUAAGCACCACCUUUGUGGGUUAUUAUUUAUUUUCCAUCUCUUGUGGAUUAGAUUAGGUUGACUUAGAGGGCUUCUGAGCACCACCUUUGUGGGUUAUUAUUUAUUUUCCAUCUAUUGUGGAUUAGAUUAGGUUGACUUAGAGGGCUUUUAAGCACCACAUUUGUGGGUUAUUCUUUAUUUUCCAUAUCGUGUGGGUUGGAUUAGGUUGACAAGGAGAAAAAUUAUGUGGGAAAUUUGUGUUGGGACACUUACCAUAACCAAGUAAAAUCUACCAAGUCCUUUGUAAUAUCUUCAACAAAUAUUUUAGACUAGUUCUUUCAGUUAGUGUAAAGGAGGAAGAAGUGGUAUUGAUUCUAGAAAUAGGGUGUGUGUAUUUGAACUACAAUCCUUAUGAUCCUUAGGUCUCUAAACCUUCGUGAUGGGCUCCCUGACAUUUCAUAGGUUGUGCUACACAUGCGUUUGAAAUUUAGAGUGCGUUUGACAGUGAUUCCGGGAAGUGUUUUUGGCCUUUCUUACACUUGAAAAUUUUUAUUUUUCAAGUAUUAGAAAUGCUACAAACACUUUUGAAAAUUACUGUCAAACACACUCUUAGGAGCGCACAUAUAUAGUAGAAAACUAGAAAUUGUGGUUUUUUUAGGAUUUACUGUAAUGUCAUUAGGAGGGUAGUAAGUUGAAAUUGAGUAUGAACAAAUAUUUCUUUCUUUGGGAUGUUCUUCUAGUAGGUGCUGAUGAAACUGUUCUUUCUACUGCCAAUGUCACAUAUCAGCCAGAAAUUGAAAAUUUCAGUCAAGGUGUCCUCUGUUUUAGUGGUGAGGAAAGCUAGAAAUUUUAAGGUGAAGUUUUGUUAAAAACCUUAAGUAGCUGGGAUAUCAGGCCUGUUUUGCUUGAAAAAAAAAGUUGCAAGAUAACUCAUAUGCCAAACAGGUUCUGAUAUUGUGAAUCUAUCGGCAGACAUCAGUAAUCUCAUCUUCUGAGAUGGAUGUUGGGGGUGCAUGUGGUGGUGGAGGGGCAAGGUUUCAUUUGGUUUAUUUUGUUGAUGGAUAUUGUCUAGCCACCUGCGCCAAGUUUGAGGGGUGGUGGGUUGUGAUGACCCUACAAUUACUAUUAAUUUCUUCAUCUUUUACCGAUUAAAGUGUCCGAACAGUCGAAGUUACCCUUAUGCAUGUCAACUUGAUCACUUACCUCUUCAAUGGAGUUUAUGCUGGUUCAUUUAGGAACUGAUUUUUAUUGUUAUGUAUUAUAUGCUGAUGUUUAGGUCUCUCCAUCAUCACUAUAUACAAAAAUUCUAGGUUGAUACUAUAGGUUGAGAUUUAUUUUUUAAAUAAAAAAUAAUAAAAAUAAAAAUUAUGGUGAUGUUUAGUUGUUUUAUGGAAAAUUUUAACAAGUAAAAGUUAUUUUUGGGCAAGUUUUCAAACAAAAAGAAAAGUAAAAGUUGUUUUGACAAAAACAUAUAGAAAAAAAAAUCAUAGAAAAUAAAUAAUUUCCCCAUAUUCUAACUUUUUUGAAUUUUUCUCAAUGGGCAAAGGAAUAUCAAAUCAAGUUUGAGUAGGAUUUCUUAAUUUUUAAAAUAACUUACAAUUAAAAAAUUUUGGUGUUUUCAUUUUUGGACAAUUUUUUAUUAAGCAAAUGGACUCUGAGUCAUGCAAGAGAUAUGGUUCAUUAACCGGUCGAACAAUUUUUUUAAAUUAAUUUAAAAGUCAAAUACAUAAUCAAUUUCACAAAAUUUAUAAACAAAAAUAGGUUUAGAGAAGAUCUACACAUAAUUUUACUUUUCUAAUUUUAUUUUAUUUUAUUUUUUGUUGGAAAAUAGUCUUCAAAUCAUGUAAGAUUUAAUAGGUUAAAUUUGUUAACAAUAAAUUUUAAAUUAUAAAAUAUAAUCUGGAACUCAAAAAUCAAUUCAAGUAAUGCUAAAAAAAAAUCAAAUUUGGUAUAGAAUGACUUUGUAAAUUUUUUUACAAAACAAAUGAAUUUUAAAUCAAGUGAGAUUUAAUGCAUUAGAUUUUUAUCAAAUAUAGUAAUUUUAAAAAUAAAUUUGGAACUCAACAAUAGACACAAUAAAUACCAAAAAAUAAUGAACCAAAAUUGGUUUGGAAUAACUCCACAACCUUUUUUUUUUUUUUUUGGUGCACACGAAUUUUCUUACUAGGUAUAUUGCUUUCAAAUUGAGAAAGAUUUACCAUUUAGAUUUUUUUUUAAUGAGUUUAAUGGUAUUUUAAAAUAAUUCAAAAUUUAAAAAAUUGACUAAUUAAUAUUAUAAAUUGAUAAACCAAGACUAUUUCAAAAUGCAUUGGGGGCUAAGGGGGUUGAAAAUAGGGACAAUGGGAUGGGUUUGGGACAUGACACUCAUAUCUCAUUUCCAUUCCAAUUACACAGUUAUCUCCCAUCCUUAUCCCAAACUUGUGUUGGAGCAAGUUGAUUUGUUCCCAUCUUUGUUGACGAAAUGACUAAUAACCUCAUCCCCUCCUUAUCUUAGAUGUACAUUUUGUCAAAUUUGAUCAGGUAUGAUUGAUCCAAGCCCUAACCCUAAUUGGUAAUGAGUGAAUACUACACCUAAUUGCAUUCUUCUUUCAUUGCAAAAUAAUGAGAUUAUAAUAAUCUAGCAAAUAAGAAAAAAUAGUAUGGAAGUUCAAAUUAACACCAUAACUAUCAAUAAUUUUAAGCUUAUAGAUGACUUAAAUGAUUAAAAACUAAUGCAAAAUCCUAAAAAAAAUAAAAAUCAUAUAAAGAAUUCACAAGAGAACAGAAUGAACAAAAACCAAAUAUGAACAUGGGUCAACAUUAGUUAUGGAUUUGGAUUCCUUUCAAGGCCAAUCUUUGAACCAAGACUUCAUCAAAUCAACUACUUCAAAGGCUUUUGUGUUCUUCUUGGGUUGUGCUCUCAAACAAAGACUUCGAGGUGAUGUUCUAGAUGAUUGAAUUACACAUAUUUAGGGUGGAGAGAUUGGAGAAGCUUGAAGAUGCCAACGAUGGGUACAAUUGAGUGGUCAAUAAGAACAAUGUAGCCUAUGACUAGUUUGAUGUCAUGGUACAAGAGUUUUAGGCAUUGAGGUUAAAGCAAGAGCAACAUGGAAUUGAUUUCGGAGUCUUUCAGUUAGUGUAAAGGAGGAAGAAGUGGUGUUGAUUCUAGAAAUAGGGUUUUAAGUGGUGCGUGAUUACUACUCAAAAAGUGCUAUUUGAUAGCCUUUAAUUAAUCCUUUUUAACACUUUUGAGUAGUAGUUUAGGCCUUUUAACUCAAUUGGCAUGUUAAGGAUCCUUUAAAGCAAUUUUGAUCACUUUGUGCAAGUUUUGGUGUUUUUGUUAGUAUUUUGAUCACCAAAGCAAGUCAAGAAUGAGGAGAACUAUGAGGAAUCAUGGGCAAAGCUUAGAAUUCAAUUGCCAAGAGUGAAUCCGGAUUGCAAGGAGAAAAAGCAAAGAGAAUCUGUCAUGAAGCCUAUUCUUGAUGACAGUCGUAGCAGCCACUUUUGGAGCACUUUCUGAAGUCCAAAUGAUGCAAGCUAUAUACCAUUUCAAAGAUCAGGAAGUCAACAAUCCAAUGCUUCAAACGGUGCGCGAUUCGGAGUUGAAACGAAGAAGUUGCAGCCAUUACAAGCCAGUCACUCUAAAGUGUUGCGGAAUCAGCCUUUUGUUGCGAGAAUUUCGCAGCACUUUUGUACAGUAAGGUGUUUCUCCUUCUGACGAUGCACGAACCAUGCCGCGAGAGGGAAGCUAGGAACUUCAAGAUGGAAGCCAACUUUGCAGCCUGGUGAAGAUAGCUUGGUCUUGCGAAAUAAUUUCGCAGCCCUCUUGGGUGUCUGCGAAAUUUCGCAGGCACCACUUUUUUCCUGCGAAAUGGCUCCGGAAGCCUCCCGAAGCUUGCUACCGACAUUGGGAGAUAUUUUCCAUUAGAUUUUUGUUGUCUAAAUUCCAAAAUACUCCUUGUAAACCACCAAUUACAUGAUUCCUUAGUUUUUAAGUUAGUAAAAAGACCAAAUAUCUAUGUAAUAAUUAGUUUUAUAUUAGUUUGCUAUAAAUACCUCUCGGGAGCAUGUUCUCAGAGAGGAGUUCCUUCUGUAACCAUUUUGGUAAGCAAGUAAAGUCUUUUCUUUCUACUGCCUUACCUUCUCACUUUGUAUUUUCAUUUUAUUUCUAAGUUAUGAAUUCUCUGAGGAGCUUUCCCCAGAGAAUGAGUAACUAAACCUCCAAUUCCUUGGAGCUAAGGUUGCCGGGGAAGGUUCCAAGUGCAAGAAUGCAAAGCUCUGUGGUUUUAGCUAGUAAUGAAGAGGAAGUGAAAUCCUUUAGUGAUUUCAAUGUUUUUAGUUAACUUAAAACACCUUGGAGUCACCUGGGCCAACACUUGGUAAGGCAAGUGAUUUCCAACCGUGGAAAUGCACUAGUUUACCCCUUGCGAGCCUCUGGUAGGUGACUUCAAGGUAGGAUUUUCUGGAAUUACCAACACUUGGUAAGCUUUUGGACUCCUAGGAGACAUCCAUUAGUUAUCUCUUGCGAGUUUGUGAAGGGGAAUCCAAGGUUAAAGAUCACCUUGAAUGGUAAGUGCUCGUGAGAGGCAUGAACCAUUGCAAGUUGUAUCAGUGAGAGAAUUAAAGUGAAAUCUAAUUGAAGGAGUCUCUGUACAUCACCGGUUAGAGAAUUGACUAUAAGUUGAAUCUCUAAUGCGAGGAAAUGAACCAUCUGACCGGAGCUAUGUCUUUUGCAUGAGGAACCACCCCAGUGAACCUAAAUCUCCAAGGAAUGCUUUUCUUCCUAAAUUAUUCCAAACUUCUGUUAAGUUAGUUAGUUUAAGUCUAAACCUUUACCAAUCAAACUUUGUGUUUUAUUUCUUAAGCUAACCGUGAAAUGAAACAAAACCAAUUCACUUGGAAUUGGUAUCCUUGAUUGCUUGCAAAUCAUUCCCAGUGAACGAUCCUUAGAGCCACUAUACUAUAGUAGCUUUGUAUUUGCUACCCUAGUGUAUGGUGUUAUAGGUAUAAAUUUUGUUGAUCACUUCCUCAAUCAAGGAACACCAGCUGAACACAAAUCAGCUGAGACACCAAUUGGGCAUGAGUCAAAUGGCGCCGUUGCCGGGGAAUGAGUGUCAAGAUCAUUGUGAUACCAUUUUUGAGCACUUGUGAUUUUCAUCACAAGUUGGUAAAGUUUCUUUCACUUUACUAAUUUUCAUUCUCUCUUUGUUUAUUUACAAUCUAAGUUUAUCUUUUUAAAAUUUAGUCUAGUUUAAUUUUGCUAUUGUAGCCUUGUUUCUCUUGUUGUCCUCUGUUCUUGUUGUCCUCUGUUUUCAUUUUAGUUGCAGCUGAAUACUAGUUGUGUAUGCCAAAGUGGAUACGAGACAUUGGAGGUAGGCUUAUUAAGUGUGAUACACCUCAGAGAGGAGAAUUGGAAGUAAUCUUGAAUAUCAUGGAGGCUGCACCUGAAGAUCAGCAUAGUCACCAAGGUCGUCAAGACAAUCUCAAUGAAUUCAGAUCAAUGAGGGACCGUAUGCAUCCACCUCGUAUGAGUGCACCAUCAUGUAUAGUGCCCCCUACAGAGCAACUAGUGAUCAGACCAUAUCUUGUUCCACUUCUACCAACUUUCCAUGGGAUGGAAAGUGAGAAUCCGUAUGCACACAUCAAGGAAUUUGAAGAUGUUUGUAAUACAUUCCAAGAGGGAGGAGCUUCAAUUGAUUUGAUGAGGCUUAAGUUAUUUCCUUUUAAUUUAAAGGAUAAGGCCAAAAUUUGGCUUAAUUCUUUAAGGCCAAGGAGUAUCCGCUCUUGGACUGAUUUACAAGCUGAAUUCCUCAAGAAAUUUUUUCCUACUCAUAGAACAAAUGGCUUGAAAAGGCAAAUUUCAAACUUCUCAGCUAAAGAGAAUGAGAAAUUCUAUGAGUGUUGGGAAAGAUACAUGGAAGCUAUAAAUGCUUGUCCUCACCAUGGCUUUGAUACUUGGCUACUGGUGAGUUAUUUUUAUGAUGGUAUGUCCUCCUCAAUGAAGCAACUCCUCGAGAAAAUGUGUGGAGAAGAUUUCAUGAGCAAAAAUCCAGAGGAAGCUAUGGAUUUCUUGAGCUAUGUAGCUGAUGUUUCAAGGGGAUGGGAUGAACCAACUAAAGGAGAAGUGGGAAAGAUGAAGUCUCAGUUGAAUGCUUACAAUGCAAAGGCUGGGAUGUAUACUUUAAAAGAGGAUGAUGACAUGAAAGCAAAGUUGGCAGCUAUGACAAGAAGAUUGGAGGAGCUGGAGCUGAAAAGAAUGCAUGAAGUGCAAGCUGUUGCUGAAGCACCAGUGCAAGUGAAGUUGUGUCCCAAUUGUCAAUCGUUUGAACAUUUGGUAGAGGAAUGCCCUGCAAUUUCAGCUGAAAGGGAAAUGUAUAGAGAUCAAGCAAAUGUUGUUGGACAAUUCAGGCCCAAUAACAAUGCUCCUUAUGGAAAUACCUACAAUUCAAGUUGGAGGAAUCAUCCAAAUUUUUCAUGGAAGGCCAGAGCAACUCAAUACCAACAGCCGGAUCCACCAUCUCAACAAUCUUCAAGUAUUGAACAAAUAAUAGCUAAUCUCAGCAAGGUAGUGGGAGAUUUUGUGGGAAAGCAAGAAGCCACCAAUGCUCGAGUGGAUCAAAGAAUGGACAGAGUGGAUCAAAGAAUGGACAGAAUGGAGAGUAUGUUGAACAAAAGAAUGGAUGGAAUGCAAAAUGAUAUGAAUCAAAAAUUUGAUAACAUCCAAUAUUCAAUUUCAAGGCUUACAAAUUUGAAUACACUGCAAGAAAAGGGAAGAUUUCCUUCUCAACCUAACCAAAAUCCCAAAGGUGUCCAUGAAGUGGAAAGCCAUGAGGGAGAAUCAUCACAGGUGAAAGAUGUGAAAGCUUUGAUCACUCUAAGGAGUGGUAAGAAAAUUGAGCAGCCAACACCCAAGCCACAUGUUGAGAAAGAAGAAGAGAUGAAGAAAGGGAAGGAAAUGGAAGAUAAAGGCAGUGAGAUCAGUGAAGAAAAGAAGGACUCUGAUGCAACAAUGAAAGUAAUUCCAGAGAAGGAGCUUCUGAAGGAAGAAAUGCUGAAGAAAUCAACUUUUCCACCUUUUCCUCAAGCAUUACAGGGGAAAAAGGGGGUUAGAAAUGCAGCUGAAAUCCUAGAAGUAUUGAGGCAAGUGAAAGUUAAUAUUCCACUGCUGGAUAUGAUCAAACAAGUUCCAACGUAUGCAAAAUUCCUAAAGGACUUGUGUACUAUCAAAAGAGGGUUGACUGUAAACAAGAAAGCCUUCUUGACUGAGCAAGUAAGUGCAAUCUUACAGUGUAAGUCUCCUUUGAAGUACAAAGACCCUGGAAGUCCUACCAUUUCAGUCAUGAUUGGAGGAAAGGUAGUGGAGAAAGCCUUGCUAGACUUGGGAGCAAGUGUGAAUUUGCUUCCAUAUUCUGUCUACAAGCAACUGGGACUUGGAGAGUUGAAGCCAACAGCAAUCACUUUGUCUCUGGCAGAUAGAUCAGUGAAAAUUCCAAGAGGGGUAAUUGAGGAUGUAUUGGUUCAAGUAGAUAAUUUCUACUAUCCUGUAGAUUUUGUUGUUCUUGAUACAGAUCCUACUGUAAAGGAAGCUAAUUUAGUUCCUAUCAUCCUUGGAAGGCCAUUUCUUGCAACUUCAAAUGCAAUCAUCAACUGUAGAAAUGGGCUUAUGCAACUCACUUUUGGUAACAUGACACUGGAUCUAAAUAUUUUCUAUAUGUCUAAAAAGCAAAUCACUCCAGAAGAAGAAGAGGGUCCAGAAGAGCUAUGUAUUAUUGAUACUUUGGUGGAGGAGCACUGCAAUCAACAUAUGCAAGAUAAGUUGAAUGAAAGUUUUGUGGAUAUUGAGGAAGGUUUUUCUGAAUCUCCUAAUGGGCUUGCUACUCUACAAAGUUGGAGAAAGAUAGAAGGAAUUCUACCUUUGUUCAAUGAAGAAGAGGAGGCAGCUGUUGAAAAAGAAAUUCCAAAACUCAAUCUGAAGCCUUUACCUAUGGAGCUGAAAUAUACAUAUCUUGAAGAAAAUAAUCAAUGUCCUGUCGUAAUAUCUUCAUCUCAAACCAAGUCUCAAGUGAAGGAUGCAAGCUUCAAAUGGGAUCCGGGCAAACUGAAUCAGGAAGGGCAAAAAGUUUUGAUGUAUGACACAAGACUCCAUAUCUUUCCUGGGAAGCUCAAGUCAAGGUGGAUUGGUCCAUUUGUUAUUCACCGAGUAUAUUCCAAUGGAGUGGUGGACUUAUUGAAUUCCAAUGGCAAGGACAGCUUUAGAGUCAAUGGAUAUCGUCUUAAGCCGUUCAUGGAGUCAUUCAAAUCAGAAAAGGAGGCAAUCAACCUCCUUGAACCUCAAAAAGCCUAAGUGAAAUGGGUUUGCUGGACGUGGUUUUACCACAGUCCAAAAAUUUUUGUAAAUUUUGUAAAUUUUCAAGUUGUUUCCAUGCUUUUAAUCUUAGUUUUUGAUUUUAAAUCAUGUUUUUAGGUGUGUUUUAAUCGUUUUAUAUGAUCCCAGGCGGAAGAAAUUUCAAGGGGAUUGAAAAGAAAAAAAUCGGGUCGAAAUUGGAGCCGAAACAGAGCAAAAACAGGGGAAAAACAGAGCUCUGCGAAAUUUCGCAGGGUGAAGGAAACUUCUGCGAAAUUGGCAUUUUGCUGCCAAACCAUUCCGCAGCACUGUAGAAGCCUCUGCGAGUGUAUUUCGCAAUUGCGAAAGUGGAUUUGGCACACGAGUGCCACUUCGCAGCACAGUGACAUCAAUUUCGCAGCUGCGAAACUCACUGCGAAGUUGCUGCGAAAAUGGCAAGUUGCUGCGAAAUUGGCGUUUUGUUGCGAAACGUAAUCUGACCCCUGGGCUUCCGUUUUUCCUAUUUAUACCUGUCAAAAGUGCUGCGAAAAAGGUUUCAAAAAUUAGAGCACCAUUCUCGCAGCCCUUUCAUCUUCUUCGCCAAGCCACGCCGUCCGUUUCUCCGGUCGUCUUCUCCGUUUAGCAGCGCCGGCCAAAGAUCGAUAGCCCAAAAAUGGCACGAACGCGAGGGGCAAAGUCUUCAUCCCCUUCGAACCGCAAAAGGAGUCUGCGAAAGGAGCCAAGUUCAGGCUCUGUUCCAGAACCUGCUCCAAAGCCUUCGCCGUCGAGACCACAACCUUCUCCAGUGAAGCCGGCGCCACCAAAGCCGCCGGCAAGGCGAUAUUUAACCAGGUCAGGUGGUCAGCCAUUGAAGAAGAAAGCCAGAGUUGAGAGCUCUGAACCAAUCGAUUUGACUGAGCAAUCCCCUGAGAAAUCACCAAAUCCUUCACCGGUACAAAUUCCAGUGCCAUCACCGGUUCCCUCGCCAAUUCCCUCACCAGAAGCAACUCCAAUUCCAUCGCCGGUACCAUCUCCGGCACCCCAAGAAAAAGCUCAGGAGCCUCAAGCGCCAAUUCCAGAGCCCCAAAUUGCAGCUGAAGCACCUCUGGAAGAAGUGAUCCGAAGGCCAAUGCUGCCUCAGCCCCCAAUCGAAGGAAACCUGGAUUGCCGAACUCGGGCAUUCCAUUCUGAGCUUUGCUUCGAUUUAACAGCAUUCAGAGUGAGGCCAGAGCUUGCCCAAUCCUUCCAACUGCUGAGGAGAUAUCAUAUGGAGCAUCUGCUAGCUCCAAGGGAUUUUUUCUAUCCCCGGGUAGUCACGGAUUUCUACCAAACCAUGACAACCAAAGAAGUAAGAAAUCCAACUCUGAUUCAUUUCAUAAUUGAUGGAAGGCAUGGUAUUUUGGGAGCAAGACAUAUUGCUGAAGCCCUGCAAAUUCCUUUUGAGCCAACUCAAUUCGACAAUUUUAAAGCUUGGACAAAUCCUACUGAGUUAGAGAUGGUUAGCACACUAACCAGAGGAGCUGCAAAUCGAUCGCAUUUGUUGAGGGGGGAGCUACCUCCAGUUAUGUUUUUGAUUGAUGCCUUUUUGAGGCAUAAUAUCUAUCCCCUGCAGCAUUGGACCCAAAGAAGGGGAAUUCUCCUAGAAGCCUUGUACAAAAUGUCUGAAGGAUUCUUCUUUGGGCCUCAUCAUCUGAUCAUGGCAGCCCUUCUAUACUUUGAGGAGAAGGUUCACAAGAAGAAGCUUCAAAGAGCAGAUUGCAUUCCACUCCUCUUCCCAAGGCUGCUAUGCCAAGUUUUGGAGCAUCUCGGAUACCCCUCUGAGCCUCAGCAGGAAAGAAAGAGAAUAUGCCGUGAGCCUUUUACCCUUGAUAAAUGGAAUAAUAUGACGGCCUACAAAAUUGAUCAGCCUGGGCAGCCUCAGCCAGCAGCAAGGAGAGUCUCCCCAAGACAUAUACCUGAAGGUAUAACACUUGCUACUCCUGCCAUCCCUCGAGCUCCACCAGCUGCACCUGCUCCAUCACAGCCAUCCACAUCAGCUGAGCCGAGGAUGGCCAUCCCUAUAUCCGAAUAUCGAGAGCUGUGCCGUGCAUUGGAGACUCUUACAGCUUCUCAGAGCAAUCUUGCUCAGGAGUUGGCAGCCAUUAAAGCAUGCCAGGAGCAGAUGUUAGCCUCUCAGACUCAACAAGCUGCCAUCCUAAGGCAGCUUCAAGUCCAUUUCGAUCUGCCACAAGCUGUAGAGCCCUCUAUUCCUACUCCACCAGAGCCACACUCUCAGCCUUCAGAGUCUCAUCCUCCAGAACCCGAAGCACCAGCUGAUCCACCUACUGAGGAGGCAGAUCCUUCUGCCUAGCACCAUCACCCCCCUCAUCAGACAUUAUAUAUAUAUUUGCUGUUUAUGUUUUUAUGCAUGUUUGUUUUGUUUUAGUUGAAAAGAAAUCCCAGUAUUUUGGUACUAUAUAUGGGAUUCCUUGUGUUACUUGUCUUUAGUAUUGUAAUCACAUGAACUCAAAGUAAUACAAGUUGACUAUUUCUUGUUAAAAGUUAGCAUUAAAGUUUCCUUAUUUCCUUUUCUCACAUAUUCUAUUCUUUUUGAAACAUGUGGUUUUCCCCAAUCAAUAUUCGAAUUUGAUAUCAGCAUGGAGGUACCACUUCCUCCCUUUUAUUACAGUCACUCAAAUCACAUUGAGGACAAUGCUCAGUUCGGUUGGGGGGUAUGAGGAAGGAAGUAUUCUAAACCUUUUUGGUAUUGCAAUUAUAUUGGUUAAUUAGUUGUAGAUUUUACUUUUUACUAGUGUUACUCUAUUCUCCAUGAAUUUUGAGGAAAAAUUUUCAAAUUAAACCAAGAGAAAUUGAACUGUUGUUUUUCACUUGACUUAGAGUAUGGAUUAUGCUUACUAAAGUGGUUCAAUUGUUGAAACUUCUACUGAAAUUGAAUUGAGUUCUUCCACUUUAAGCUAUCCACACACUGUGCACAUUAGUUUCCGAUUAUAAGAUGAAAAGCUAUUUCCCUCUUGACUUAGUAUAUUUUUGGGACUUGGUAUAUUUGACCUCAUUUGAUAAAAAUUGAAACACCCUGCAAAAGGCCAAUGAGCCUUUGAAAUAAAGAAAGUUGUUUGCUUGCCUUGAAACCCGAGCAAGGUCUGAGGGGUAUAUGGUGAAAAUCUUUAAAGCCUGGUGCCCUAAGCCUUAAUUGGUUGGGAGUCACCGACCUCAAUGCUCGUUACAAGGGUGAAUAGGUAGAGUUAGCAUAUGGUAGAUGCUUGGGUAUUAGAAAUUCAUUCUUAAAAGUCCGGGGAAAAAUCCGAGGAGUUAGUGGUUGAAAGAUCCUUAAAACUUGGUGCCCUAAACCUUAAUUGGUUGGGAGUCAUCGAUGGACCCCCAUUACAUGGACAAGUCAGAAAGAGUACCCCAUAAAGCUACCUUAAAAAAAAAAAAAAAAAAAAAAAAAAAAAAAAAGAUGAAAGUGUGUUCUUUUCUUAUUGAUUUUGGUCAGUUUGCUAAAGUGUUGAAAAGAGAUAGGUUGGGGGGUGAGAUUAGUAGCAUAUUAUUCUCGGAACCUAAGGAACCAAUACACAUAGAUUUUUGUGGAAGAUUGAAGUUUAGUUCUUAGAAAAUGAAAUGAUUUUAAAACUUCAGUUUGCAUAAUGCACUCCCUUGAUUGACAGUGUUUAGCAUAGGUGUUAUGACUCUUGUUGAGAUUUGGGUUUGUAUUUCUUUAAUGAUUCAUGUGAGAAAUAGAUCAUCAUGCCACUUGAGAAUUAUUUUCCUUUUAGCAUGAUGUUGUAAAUUUUAGAUUAGUUUGCUAUUUAUUUUUUAUUUUCUCUCCUAUAUUGCUAAGGGACUAGCAAUAUGUCGGUUGGGGGGAGUGAUUACUACUCAAAAAGUGCUAUUUGAUAGCCUUUAAUUAAUCCUUUUUAACACUUUUGAGUAGUAGUUUAGGCCUUUUAACUCAAUUGGCAUGUUAAGGAUCCUUUAAAGCAAUUUUGAUCACUUUGUGCAAGUUUUGGUGUUUUUGUUAGUAUUUUGAUCACCAAAGCAAGUCAAGAAUGAGGAGAACUAUGAGGAAUCAUGGGCAAAGCUUAGAAUUCAAUUGCCAAGAGUGAAUCCGGAUUGCAAGGAGAAAAAGCAAAGAGAAUCUGUCAUGAAGCCUAUUCUUGAUGACAGUCGUAGCAGCCACUUUUGGAGCACUUUCUGAAGUCCAAAUGAUGCAAGCUAUAUACCAUUUCAAAGCUCAGGAAGUCAACAAUCCAAUGCUUCAAACGGUGCGCGAUUCGGAGUUGAAACGAAGAAGUUGCAGCCAUUACAAGCCAGUCACUCUAAAGUGUUGCGGAAUCAGCCUUUUGUUGCGAGAAUUUCGCAGCACUUUUGUACAGUAAGGUGUUUCUCCUUCUGACGAUGCACGAACCAUGCCGCGAGAGGGAAGCUAGGAACUUCAAGAUGGAAGCCAACUUUGCAGCCUGGUGAAGAUAGCUUGGUCUUGCGAAAUAAUUUCGCAGCCCUCUUGGGUGUCUGCGAAAUUUCGCAGGCACCACUUUUUUCCUGCGAAAUGGCUCCGGAAGCCUCCCGAAGCUUGCUACCGACAUUGGGAGAUAUUUUCCAUUAGAUUUUUGUUGUCUAAAUUCCAAAAUACUCCUUGUAAACCACCAAUUACAUGAUUCCUUAGUUUUUAAGUUAGUAAAAAGACCAAAUAUCUAUGUAAUAAUUAGUUUUAUAUUAGUUUGCUAUAAAUACCUCUCGGGAGCAUGUUCUCAGAGAGGAGUUCCUUCUGUAACCAUUUUGGUAAGCAAGUAAAGUCUUUUCUUUCUACUGCCUUACCUUCUCACUUUGUAUUUUCAUUUUAUUUCUAAGUUAUGAAUUCUCUGAGGAGCUUUCCCCAGAGAAUGAGUAACUAAACCUCCAAUUCCUUGGAGCUAAGGUUGCCGGGGAAGGUUCCAAGUGCAAGAAUGCAAAGCUCUGUGGUUUUAGCUAGUAAUGAAGAGGAAGUGAAAUCCUUUAGUGAUUUCAAUGUUUUUAGUUAACUUAAAACACCUUGGAGUCACCUGGGCCAACACUUGGUAAGGCAAGUGAUUUCCAACCGUGGAAAUGCACUAGUUUACCCCUUGCGAGCCUCUGGUAGGUGACUUCAAGGUAGGAUUUUCUGGAAUUACCAACACUUGGUAAGCUUUUGGACUCCUAGGAGACAUCCAUUAGUUAUCUCUUGCGAGUUUGUGAAGGGGAAUCCAAGGUUAAAGAUCACCUUGAAUGGUAAGUGCUCGUGAGAGGCAUGAACCAUUGCAAGUUGUAUCAGUGAGAGAAUUAAAGUGAAAUCUAAUUGAAGGAGUCUCUGUACAUCACCGGUUAGAGAAUUGACUAUAAGUUGAAUCUCUAAUGCGAGGAAAUGAACCAUCUGACCGGAGCUAUGUCUUUUGCAUGAGGAACCACCCCAGUGAACCUAAAUCUCCAAGGAAUGCUUUUCUUCCUAAAUUAUUCCAAACUUCUGUUAAGUUAGUUAGUUUAAGUCUAAACCUUUACCAAUCAAACUUUGUGUUUUAUUCCUUAAGCUAACCGUGAAAUGAAACAAAACCAAUUCACUUGGAAUUGGUAUCCUUGAUUGCUUGCAAAUCAUUCCCAGUGAACGAUCCUUAGAGCCACUAUACUAUAGUAGCUUUGUAUUUGCUACCCUAGUGUAUGGUGUUAUAGGUAUAAAUUUUGUUGAUCACUUCCUCAAUCAAGGAACACCAGCUGAACACAAAUCAGCUGAGACACCAAUUGGGCAUGAGUCAGUGCGUUAGAGGAUCAAGAAGAAGAAAAAGAAGGAACUGUUGGAAUUAGUAUGAGUGUGAAGAGAAAAGUAUAUAAAUAAGGGGAAGUAAAAGCAAAGUUCAAAAAGCUAUAUUUUUUUAUUGUUGGUGUAUGGUUGCAUGAUUAUCCCUAUAAAUAAUAGGAGUUUUUUGGUAUUCUACUAGUAGUUGAAGCAUAAUUUCAUAAAUUAAUAUUUAGAGCGGGGUGGGGUGAGUUGUGACAAAAUUCAUACCCGUCCCAAACCUUGGUUCAGAUUUUUAAAAUAUUCUCAAACUUAUCAUAUACCCAACUUUUAUAUUUCAUACUUGUCCUAAUAGAGGCACGUUAGGCCGGGUUACUUGAGUAACCUACAUAAUUGUCAUCCCUAGUUGAAAUACACUUUUUGGCAGUGGCCACCAACUGAGCUAGAAGCUUGAUUGAUUGACCUACAAGAUUAGUUCUCAUCAUUUUAAAAAAAGUUCUGGCUUUGGUUGUGAGUGCAAUUGAAUCUAAACUGGCAUUUGCUUAAUGCAUCUACUUCAAUCCUAAACUUCUUACUUCUUAAGCCUCAAUUGUUGUUAGGAUUUUGGAAAACCCAUUUCCUUAAAUUGUAAAUUUAAGAUAAAAUAAAAUAAAAGUGAGACAUUUCUUGAUUGAAUAUUGUUAAAGGUCCCUUGGCAUUAAGACUUGGUUGAAGCCUUGGAAGAUUAGUGGAACUCUCAACAUGUGUUUGAAUCUUGAGGAGAGUGGAUGUAAGCCAAAAUUUUGUCAAACCAUUAUACAAAUUGAGUUUGAAUCCUCAUUUCUUGAUUUCUUAUUUAUUUGCUUUUUCUUAUUAUUACUUGAAUUGUCAUUUGCAUUCAUUAAUGUUAAAAUUGGUUAUAAUUAACCAACACUAAUUCUCUUUCCCCUUCCCUUUCUUGGGUGUAAACCUAGGUUGGAUUAACUAGAUAAAUCUAUUAAGAUGGUAAAAGAAUAAUUAUUCUUAACAUACAUAAGAUCAUCUUCAAUCAAAUGACUCAUUGGCUAAUAUGUUGAAUUUGCUUAUUACUUGCAACUCAAAAUUGUGUUCUAGUUGUGUCAAGUCCCCAGUGUAUGGACAUUAAAUUUGUAGUACGUGAUGAGUAAUUAGAUGGUCCAACUCCAAGAAAGUGAUUGAAAAGUAGUUCAAGAAAGGUGCAAAAGGGAAUUGUUUUGGUAUUUUCGUUUUUAUUCUUGAAGGUGGCAGAGCUAAAAUUUGAGAAAUCAAGCAAAACAUACUGAAAUUACAUUGAAAGAAAGAAGAUGGGAGUUAAUGUCUUGCAGUACAUGAUAAGGACUUCAUGCAUGUAGUGUGACCCAUGUCUUGGACUGAUGCCAACUCACGGUUACACUUAUACCCUUGGUUCUCUCUUUACUACCUUGGCUAACCUAGAUCAGGCUAUGAGAUAGGCUCCUCACCACACCAUUACUUGCCCAUUAAUUAGAGACAUUUUCAAGCAAUGAGGUAACAUGGUGACACCAAGAGGGUCUAUUCCUCGCCCGGAACAAGUCUAGACUUGGUCUCAAAAAAAUGGAGAAAAAUGAGGUGUCGUUAUGUAGAAAUACAACAACCAUGCCUUCCUCAUUACUUAGAUUCAGAAUGUGAAGGUGAAAUUGAGAAACAGAAACUCUUGAAACCAAAAUGAAAAUUGAUACUUUUACGAAGAAUUACAACAACAUUAGAGGAAGACUACAUUCUUCCUCUUUAUUCCUACAUUUCUACACUACUUCUACUCCACUCCAUAUUUCUACAUACAUCUUUAAUCAGUCUUCCCUCCUUUAUAUAGAGCCAUCUUCACACAAAUUUCGCAAGGUAGAAAAGAGGAAUGAAACUUGGAGCAAGGUUCGACUACUGGUUGUAGCUUGUCAAGGCUGGAAGUGAACUUUUCUUGGCUUUCUGGGCAUGGGUAGUAACUUGUGGGUUCCUGUUUGGCAUAAAAAUGGCUAGAACAUGUGGCACUAUCUUGUUGGAUGAUGUGUCAAGCAUGUGGCAGCCAUCUAGUGGCGAUUAUGUCAAUUUUGGGAUGGAGAGUUGGCAUCCAAUUGCAAAGAAAUAUGACGUCUACCAACAUGCAAUGUAAACCUAUGUAGAUCAUAUGAAGAUAGAGAGGAAAAAUAUAGAAAUGGAUAUAUACCUAGAACUAGCUUUUUAUUAAAUGAAACGGAGAGACAACAAUGAAGGAAAAUAAAAUUUUUUGGCUUAUAUCAAAGAGUUCACAUUGUGUUACCCUAGGUUUUCUUAAAACUUACUUUUAUGAUAACAAAAAAGAAAAAACCAUUAUUGUUUAAUCCUUUGUUUUAAACGCAUGUAAGGUGUAAUUAAGUUAGUUCAAUGCAUUAAUUUAAGAAACUUGACCUAUCAAAAGUACAAAAUUAGAUGAAAUCCAUUUCAAUGGUUAAAAUGAUCAAAAUCAAACUUUUUCUAAGUAUUUUUUAAAAGCAUCAAUAGUGAAAGACAAUUUUAUAUUUAGUCGGAGUUUGGACAAAACUGAAAAACACACAAAAUCCAAGCGACCAUCUCUAGCUUGGAUGGUCGCUUGAUCCCACCUAGAGAUGUGCAUGAGUAAAAGGAUUUGAAAAUGGAAAUUGACUAUGUAGUCGAUCAAUUAACUUUGCAACAUCAUAUGCAAUCCUAAUUGCUAGUCAUCUAAUCAAUUAGGUAGUCAAUCAACAGGCCAAAAAUAUGUUUAUAAUGACUAUUUUGUACAAAAACCACCUGUAUAGUUAAAUAUAAUGCAUUUCAUUUAUAAAUCUUCUAAUUCUUGAAUAACGAUCCUAUCAUCCUUUGAAAGUUUUUAUUACACUUUUUUUACUUUUGUUCUAAAACUUACACAUCACCCUUAAUUGUACCAUGAGAACCUAGCUAUUUUUUAUUUUUUUUUUUGUAAUUCAUCAAAGUUAGCUUUUGUAUUCAUUGUUGUAUUAUUUUUAGUAUAACUUAGAAAGCUAGUGUUUUCAAGUGAGUAAAAUUAACUUGUAAAUAUUGUAAAGAUUCAUCGACAUGUAUCUUAAACUAAGUGUACAAGUUAAAACAUUUGCUAGUAGAUUUUCUCAAAAUUUAGAAUAGAGCUUGAGACUAUUGAAAUAGGUGGGGUUGCACCAAACCACAUCACAUCGUUGUUUGCACCUUUUUUCACUCUCUUUUACUUAGUUGCUCUAUAUUUGUUGUCUAGUAAUAUCCUAUAGGCUUGAUGGGUUAGGGAGCAUCCCUUUGUGAAAAAAUUUUAUUCAAUCCUUAGUUGUAUCACGCAUAUAUAAAAUGCCUCAUUGUUUUAAUGGUAUUCAGUCGUGGCAUCACAGAUAUGGGCAUCUAAAUUUUAAAAGUUUGAAACUUUUAUCUAAAGAAAAUAUGGUGCUUUGCCUUUUUGUAAAGCAUGUUGAUGAAAUCCAUGAGAAUUGUGUACUUGGGAAGCAACACCGAGAUGACUUUUUUUUUUUUUUUAUAAUAUUGUUUGUCCAAAUUCCCUACAAAUUAGGCCACCAGAUGUUCAUAAUUCUCCCUUCUUGAAUUUGAAAACUCGGACAAUUGGACAAUGCGACACCUAAGUCCGGUUUCUAAAUGCUAAAGUGAAAGGGUAGGUAUGGACCAUUGAAAUGUGAUCACAACUUUUCUCUGUAGCCAUGUUGUCUCUUUUUUCUUUUGCAUGAUUUUCUUACCUUAACAGAAUCAUAGACUUGUUUAGUCUCUAAAUGGGAUUAAUUUCAUCCAGCUUUAAGCUACUAUAUUAUAUCUAGGUGGAGGACUUUUAAGAGUGCAACCGACAUAGAGCACAUGGAAGUGGGUAUAUGGGACAUGAAAUUUCUUCUUAUAAAGAUUGCAUGAUUUUUAUAUUAGAGUUGUUGAGGCGCUAUGUAUUUAGCUUGUUUUGCAGUUAAAUUAAUUGGAUAAGUAGACAUUGGCGUUUCUAAAUCUACUGUGAAGUGCUUCAUGUACGUGUGAAGUAUUAGAAAUUUCUUUCUUGGCAACUUGUUUUUCUUUGCGGUCUACUGAUAGGUUUGACUAAAAUUAUAUUCCCUGUCAUGCUAAUUAAUUUUCACGUGCAUGCUCAAAAGAAAAGUAUGACCUUAGUGCACCAAAAUCACUUUGAUUAAUUUGUGAUAGGUUUUUGUGCAUCAUGACAUUAGCCUUAUUCAUUUAGAUAAUGUUUAGUUUUUAGAAAGUAUUAAGAAAAGGAAAAUAAAUAUUAAGAAAAAUAUUCUUAUAUUUGAUUGUAUUAUGAAAAAUAUCAUAAAAAAAUCAAAUAUAAUUUAAAUUAAUUAAUAAUUUAUACAUUUUCAAAUUAUUUAAUCUUUAUAUUGAAGAUAUAAUAUAAAUGAAAUGAGUUUUAAGUAUUAUAUAAAAGUGAUUUAUUGAUCUUACAUAUAUAUAUUUCUUUUUUUUUUCCUUCUAUUUUUUCUCUUUAUUUUAUUUUCCUUAUGUUUUCCUCAACAUUUUCCGGAACCAAACAUAGCCUUAGGAAAUCCACAAUUACCUUCAACUGAGUAGAUUCUGUUGUUUUAGCAAUGUUAGGCUGCUAACUUGUGUUGGUACGAACCUAUUAAGCCUAAAGAUGUAAUUAGUUAGGAUAUUCUUUUCCCUCUAGUCUUGUAGCUCCACGUGUACAGUUGGUUAGGACCUCAUUGUAUAUAAUGCUUGCCCUGUUAUUGUAGAAGACAACAAAGAUAAAUAAUAUUAACAUUUUUCCUCUCAUCUCUCUCUGUUUCCCUCUGUUUUCAUCUCCUCUCUCAUCUUGGUAUCAGAGCCUCCAUGGCUUCUUUCAAAGAAACCUCCGAAUCACCUUCUGCUAGCAUUGUUAAUGUGCAAAACCCAUUAUCUCAAUCAAACAACCUUCCUUCACCAGUAGCCACACCCUCUUUUUCUUUCUCGUCUAUGAAUCAACCUCUCACAGUGAAGCUGGAUAAUGGGAACUACCUCAUAUGGAAGAAUUAGCUUCUAAAUGUCAUCAUUGCUAACGGACUCGAUGAUUUCAUUGACGGAUCUCGACCCUGCCCUCCUCGAUUUCUCGAUCUGCAACAACAAACCCUCAAUCCAGAGUACUCAGCUUGGCAGAGAUACAAUCGACUUCUGAUGAGUUGGCUGUACGCAUCCUUGUCCAAAGAUAUAAUGGCUCAGAUUGUUGGGUAUUCAACAGCUAUGGAGAUUUGGAAUGCCCUUAAUCAGAUUUACUCUGCCUCUUCUAUGGCGCGGUUUACUGAGCUUCGCACCAAGCUUCAAACGCUCAAGAAAGAUGGACUCUCAGUUGGUGAAUAUAUUCAAAGGCUCAAAUCCAUUUGCAAUAGUCUUGCAGCAAUAGGAGAACCAGUUUCUGAGAAAGACCAUCUUAUCUAUUUGUUCAAUGGAUUAGAUUGUGAGUAUUAUUCUUUUGUUACCUCCAUUCAAAAUCGAUCUGACCAACCAACUAUUGACAAAAUCCAUAGCCUAUUGCUUAGCUAUGACUUCCGGCUUGAACAACAAAACUCUGUUUCUCUCCAUUCUGCCCAAGUCCAUAUGGCUCAUCUGAACAAGAAACCUUAUAAAUCAACUCCUCAACCUACAUUCAAUCAUAUUCACAUUCAACCUAGAUACUCUUCUCCACCUUUUAAGCCAACCACUAGUCAAUAUCAACCCAACAUUUUGGGCAAACCACAACCACAACCAUGACAGCCUCAACCUCAAUGGAAACCACAUUUUUCAAUCUAAAAUCAAAAGCCUCAGCGCCAAAUUUGUGGUAAAUUUGGACACACUGCUCUUAUUUGCUUCCAUCACACAAAUUUGAACUAUUCACCCCAACCUUCUCCUAAAUCUUUCAAUACUGUUCUCACCACAAAUUCCCAGCUCCCUAAUCCUCCAAAAUUUUCUUACCCUACAAUGGCUCAUCCUGCUGCUACGCAUAACACGGUUCCCGAUACAAAUUGGUACAUGGACUCAGGUGCUACACAUCACUUUACUCUGGACAUCAACGUGCUUGACACUGUGACACCAUUUAGUGGUUCAGAACAGGUGACAGUUGGGAAUGGUAAGCAACUCUGUAUCUCACAUCUUGGUACUGCAAAACUACCAUCUUCGUAUUCUCCUCCUGUUCUACAUCAGGUAUAUCACACUCCAAAAAUUUCAAAUAAUCUUAUUAGUGUUAAAAAAUUGUGUUCUGAUAAUAAAGUUUUUGUUGAAUUUUAUGCCACUCAUUUUCUUGUCAAGGAUCAGGUUUCGAAGAGAGUUCUCCUUUAGGGUCAACUUGAUAAUGGCUUAUACAAAGUUCAGUCGUCAUGCUCUCCUUCUGCUGUUUCCUUUCCUCCUCAAGUUUUCAUAGCCAACAUCAAGUAUCCAAAUCUGUGGCACAAGAGACUAGGCCACCCAGCUUUAUCUGUUGUUAAUCAAAUCUUGGAUUCUUGUAACAUUGCUCGAACACAGAAAAUUUGUUUUAAUUUUUUAAAUUCUUGUCAAUUAGCAAAGAGCCACAGGCUUCCUUUUUCUCUGUCUCCAUCCAUUGCAGAAAAACCUUUUGAGUUAAUUCAUACAGACCUAUGGGGUCUUUCGCUCGUUCGCUCUAUUUCUGGUGCUCUUUAUUUUUUACUUUUCAUUGAUGAUCAUACUCGUUUUACUUGGUUUUAUUUGCUCAAAACAAAAGAUGAAGCAUAUCCUACUUUUCUCAAGUUUCAAGCUCUCAUUGAAAAUCAAUUUAAUACCAAGAUUAAGGCUGUCCAAUCUGAUUGGGGAGGUGAGUUUCGAUCUCUCUCCAUACCGUUUUCAAAUAUGGGCAUUGUCUAUUGUUUAUCGUGUCCAUACACCUCACAACAGAAUGGGCGAGUUGAGCGAAAAAAUCGCCAUGCGAUUGUCCUUUCUUGCUUGCUCUAUGCCCUUAUCUUAUUGGCCUUAUGCCUUUCAAACUGCCACUUACCUUAUUAAUCGUCUCUCUACCCCUGUGCUGCAUCAUCAAUCCUCUUACUUCGCACUCUAUCACAAACUCCCAACUUAUACUCAUCUUAAGGUCUUUGGUUCCUCUUGUUUUCCGUAUUUGCACCCUUAUAAUACCCAUAAACUCCAAUACAGGUCACUAGAGUGUGCUUUUCUUGGUUACAGUUCACACCACAAAGGUUAUCUAUGUCUUGACAUUCAUUCUAGCAGGGUGUAUAUUUCUCGCCAUGUGAUUUUUAAUGAAGAUUCUUUUCCAUUCAAGAAUUUGAAAUCUUCUCUCUCUCAGUCUAUUUCUUCUUCCUCUUCUUUAUAAGUUCCUCUGUUCAUUCUCUUGCCUCCCCUUUCCCCAUCUCCUCUUAUUUCUUCAUCUAUACCUCAUUCUUUUCCCUCUUCUUCUUCUACCUCUAGUACUUGUUCCCCUCUCGUUGCUCCUACCUCUCUUCCUUCCUCUUCACACUCUGUGUCUCCAUCUAUUCCACCUCCUUCUCCACCUUCUCCGAGUGUGGACCUGCUUGCACCUUGUGUGAAUACAAAUUUACAUACUUCUUCUCGCACUCACAAUAUUCAUCCUAUGGUGACUAGAUCUAAGGUUUGUAUCUAUAAACCUAAGUUGUUGUUGAGUGUCUCCAUAGGUUCUCUCACUAAGCCUACUUCCUUUCUUCAAGCUAUUAAAGAUCCUUCAUGGAAGCAAUCCAUGGAAUUCGAGUUUGCUACCCUUCAACACAACAAGACCUGGCAUUUGGUUCCUUCACCUUCCUCAGGCGAAGUAAUCGGUUGUAAAUGGGUCUAUAAGCUAAAGCUUCAGCCUGAUGGCUAAAUUGAGAGAUACAGCCUGCUUAGUAGCUAAGGGUAUCAUCAAAUUGAAGUAUGGACUACUUCGAAACAUUCAGCCUGAUNNNNNNNNNNNNNNNNNNNNNNNNNNNNNNNNNNNNNNNNNNNNNNNNNNNNNNNNNNNNNNNNNNNNNNNNNNNNNNNNNNNNNNNNNNNNNNNNNNNNAGCUUCAGCCUGAUGGCUAAAUUGAGAGAUACAAGGCCUGCUUAGUAGCUAAGGGUUAUCAUCAAAUUGAAGGUAUUGACUACUUCGAAACAUUCAGCCUGAUUGUCAAGCUUUCUACUAUCUGUAUUGUGCUCAGUCUUACUUUUUCCCAGAAUUGGUGUAUUAGACAGCUGGAUGUUCAUAAUGCCUUCUUACAUGGUGACUUAGCUAAAGACGUUUUCAUGGAACAACUGCCUGGAUUUGUUGAUCCUCUCUAUCCUACUCAUGUCUGCAAGUUGGAUAAGUCUCUCUACUGUCUUAAAUAGUCACCUCGGGCUUGGUAUACUAAGCUGAGUACUUCUCGCUACACUUGGGAUUUGUUACUUCUAAGAAUGACUCUUCCUUAUUUAUUUGUCAUUCGUCUCAUGGGUUACUUCUUGUUCUUGUCUAUGUGGAUGAUAUAAUCGUCAUUGGGAGCCACUCUCCUCAGGUUACUCACCUUAUCCAACAGUUGCAUCAUUAGCUUUCUUUAAAGGAUCUUGGUCCUUUACAUUAUUUUCUGGGCUUGGAGGUUCAUCACACCCCUACUGGUAUUCACCUCAGCCAAGCAAAGUAUAUCACUGAUCUCCUUACCCGGGCGGCUAUGUUGGAUGCCAAGCCAUGUCCCACUCCUAUGUCCUCCAACACAUAUCUCUCUUUUCAUGAUGGAGUGGCUCUUGAAAAUGGUUCAGAUUAUCGAAGUUUUGUUGGUGCCCUUUAGUAUUGUACCAUGACACGCCCAGAUAUAGCUUUUGCAAUAAAUAAAGUGUGUCAAUUCAUGCACCAUCCCUCUAAUGUUCACUGGCAGGCUAUAAAACGUAUUCUCCGGUACUUAAAGGGCACAUCUCAUUUUGGUCUCUUCCUACAGCCUUCCUAUGACUUCAACAUCACUUGCUAUACAAAUGCCGACUGGGCUUCCUGUCCUGAUGACAAGUGUAGCACCAGUGGCUACUGCCUCUUUCUUGCCUCUAAUCUGGUUUCUUGGUCAUCUUCCAAACAAAAAGUGGUCUCCCGCUCCAGCGCCGAAUCAGAGUACCGAGGGGUAGCAAAUGGGGCUGCUGAAAUUGCUUGGACUGAAUCUCUUCUUUGUGAACUUUCCAUUACUCCCCCUCCCCUCAUUCUCUGUGACAAUAUCAGUGCCACGUACUUAGCUGCCAAUCCUAUUUUGCAUGCCCGCACCAAACAUGUGGAAAUCGACUAUCACUUUGUCACGGAACGUGUUCUUCAAUGCUCUCUUUUUGUCCAGUUUACACCUUCUGAUGAUCAACUUGCUGAUUGCAUGACCAAGCCUCUCUCCACCCAACGUUUCAUCACUCUACGCUCCAAGCUCACUGUUCUCACUAGACCAAUGAGCUUGAGGGGGGAUGUUAAGCCUAAAGAUGUAAUUAGUUAGGAUAUUCUUUUCCCUCUAGUCUUGUAGCUCCACGUGUACAGUUGGUUAGGACCUCAUUGUAUAUAAUGCCUGCCCUGUUAUUGUAGAAGACAACAGAGAUAAAUAAUAUUAACAUUUUUCCUCUCAUCUCUCUCUCUGUUUCCCUCUGUUUUCAUCUCCUCUCUCAUCUGAACCAAAUGAUCCAUGUUAACCUUGGCUUGGUUUGAUUUGGCUCUAUCUUAGAGAGCUCAAGGAUCACGUCAACUCUGGUUUCUACUAUUCAGGUCCAUUCCCAUAUGAACUGGUUCAAAUUUGAGAAAAUGGUAACAGACCUUUAGUGAUGUUGGUUUGGAGCCAGUUGCCAAACCCGCCCUGAGCUUUACCACUAAUGUCAAGGGAGAAAGCCAUUUGAACAAAAACAAUAGCUUCAAGGGACUGAAUCGUGGAUGAAAUCUGAUCCACAUUUCUUCUCAUUUUGGAAACAAAUGAGAACUUAACUAAGAAGAUUCUACGGCCUCAUAGUGCUUUUCCUGAUCUAAGGUUGGUUCGUUUCCCAAACUGUGAGAUGCACGUGCCAGACUUCAGAACUCUCACGCUCAGGAGUGUAUCCACGUGGUGGACAUAAGAUGGUGGCUUAAGAUCUGGUGUCGGUGGCUUUACUUUACUAGGAGAGUAGUGUGUCUUCAUCUCAUUCACUGCCGGAGGGUGGCGUAAGCAGUGACGCUAAGGUGGGGCACAGUCAAUAUCAUUUGCAUUUGACCAUUAUAGUUUUCUCCCGGCUUUAAAGUAACCUUAUCGUGAUAAAGGAUUACUAGCACUAGUUCAGAUGAUAGUCAUGUUAAAUUCGGACCAUGUUUGUGUCACAUUAUCAGCAACCAUGUGUUUAUGGUUCAUGCUUUCUGCAACUAAAAUUGAUAUAUAACCAGGUGAACUUCAAUCUAAAUUCUGAAAGUACUCAUGUGAUAGAUGGUGCCCGUCUGCAGAGUCCAUCAAUUGAAAAAUGGAGUGAGUGUAUCUAUAAGAGGGAAGGCUUGGAAAAUGUUCAGUUUUCUGGGAAUUCAACAAGGAUCUAAAAUAGAUUGUUUUCUUUGCUGAUUUCAAUGGUUGAAAUUUGAGAAGAUUGUGUCCACAUAACACAACUAUUACUGGUCCUUCUGUUGCAAUUUAUCCUCUAAAGCUCUAGCAUGUCUUCCAAUUCCCACUUCCCUGUUACUCCAGGAAAGCUAUUUCUGUCAUUGUGAAGAAGAAAAGAGAAUGUACAUAUCGAUGCUUUUAAGUGACUGGAGCAUUUAUAUCAGGUGGUCUGCAGCCAUAUAUGCCACUUUGUGAAGAUUGGAACAGUCAAUCACUAGGCUAUAUAUUAGUGUGGCCCAGCCACUUUAAUCAAGGACAAGUCUUCAUACUUAAAGUCAAAUUCUGCCUUUAGUCUCAUUAUAAAUUUCUGUUUAAAUAUUAAGCAAACAUUUGUUUAAUGCGAUUAAGACAGUACUAACUCAAUACCUGUUCUAUUUUUGGAUGCAAAUGCUUGAUGGUUUCAUCAUUGGAUGGGAUAAAGGUGCAUUCAUGAUUAGGAAUACUAGUAGUUAUAUUUUAAUUCUCUUUUUUCUCAAUGAGACUUGUUGGCACAAUUUUGCUGUUGAGAAACCUACCUCUCCAUGGAAAAUAAGUUGUGAUUGAUAGUACUGGAUAUAUUCAAGAAAUCUAAAUAUAGAUAGCACAAAAUAUUAUCGACAUAAAUAGCAUUAACAGCGUACGUAUGUCUCAGUGCUCAUCAGCUAUAAGCAUGGGGCAAACACUUACUAUGAGCAACUUACGUCAAAAUUCCAGAAUAGGACAUAGAAGUGACAGAUAUAGAACAUUGCAUAUGAGUCACAAGAAAGGAAAUUACGGGUGCAUAGCAGCUCUUAUUUUACAUACUACUACUCAUACUGAUCAAAGUCACUCAGUUGGGAUGGGUGGGAGUAGGAGGUUUGUGGGGUGGCUUGUGCGGAGGAGUUGGCAGCUUCUUUCCAGGACCUGGUUGCUUCUCUGCUGGAGUUGAAGGAGGCUUAAUCUUCCGAGGUGGCUUGUAUGAGUCUUCAGCAUUCUCAGCUGGAGGGUGACCAGGGUUGUGACCAUAAUGUGGUGGCUUCUCUCCCUUAGGUGGUUUGCCAACUGGGGUUGGUGGCUUGUAUGAGUCUUCAGCAUUCUCAGCAGGAGGGUGACCAGGGUUGUGACCAUAAUGUGGUGGCUUCUCUCCCUUAGGUGGUUUGCCAACUGGGGUUGGUGGCUUGUGUUCUGGGAGUGGCUUCUCCCCCUUGGGAGGUUUUUCCAAUGGGGUUGGUUUGUGUUCAGGAGGUGGCUUCUCCACUGGAGGCUUGUGUUCAGGAGGUGGCUUCUCCACCGGAGGCUUGUGUUCAGGUGGUGGCUUCUCCACCGGAGGCUUAUGCUCUGGUGGUGGCUUCUCGAAUGGGGGAUGCUUAGGAUAAUCAGCAAGUGAGGGGGCGGUGAGAACCACCAGGCCAAGCAACACCACUAGCAAAUAUGUAGGAGACAUCUUUGGGUUUGGGCUCAGAUGGUGCAAAACUAGGAGAAUUGGCUAGCCUUUUAUAGCGGAUCGUACCCAAUAAUGAAAUGACACGUGUCAUUAUGACCCAUGUGUAAUGGGGUCGAUUUGGGUCCUACAGUGUUGAAAACUUCGACAUCCACUUUUGGCCUUUUGCUUUCUCUACAGCCGCCUUGCUUUUUCCCUCUUUCCUUUUGUUUUCCUCCUGCCCCAUUCUAUCAACUAAACACAAUUAUGUAGUUGUUUAAUUCUUAAAUGAGAUAUUAUCCGUCAAUCGUAUUAUAUUUUAUCAAGAGAGAACGGAGUGCAAUGUGGCUGUAAUUUUAUCGUUUAGUUUUAUCUCUUGGACCACUGCAUUUUUGUUAAGAGGUGCAAUAAUACACGUCUUUAUCUGCCAUUCAAUAUUUACAGUAAAGAGAGGGCACAAAACUCUUCACUUCGCACCAUAAUUAUUUUGUUUUCUGGACACCCCGGGGCCCUUUGGUUGGUUUGGGGGUCAGAAAGUGAACAUCAUAGGGGGUUUUUCCCUUAUGUGCAUUUGUAUCUGAUGGCUUUAACUCGCCUUGUUACUACAAAGAAACUGUCACAGAUAGGAACUUAUUCCAGGCUGAGUAUCUCCUCAUAGACCCUAUAAAAGAAGACAAGUCAUAAUGAACAUCUAACCUUUGUUCAAUUUGAUUCAAUGCCCCCAUUGUGUCCAUCUCACAAAUCUGAAUUAUUAUAUCCAUUGAAUACAUAAAUUAAUGAAGAAAAUAUGAAACCCAAGAUACAUCUCUGCACAACCUCAACCCUGGUUGCUAUGUUUCCCUUCUAUUCACAUGAUUUGAUGCUAAUUGCCAAACUUGCAACAAGCCCUGAGUUUGACACCUAGUAUCGAUGGGCGAAUUUAAAGUCUCCUCCAAACAUAUAUUCCACAGCUUGAAGCUCACAGAAGAUGUUACAGGCAGGGAAAAACCUUCAGAGUUCGCUACCAAAGAUAAUUAUUAAGGAGAUAUCACAAAGAGAAUUCCAAGGGGUCUGAAUCAAAGACAAAUUGGUCGUUCGUGGGGGUUCUUACUUUCUUUUGGGUAUAACUCACUGAGGGCACUGUCUUUGUUAUUUGCAUUUCACAUUUAGAGUUCUGUUCUGGAAACAUAUAAAAGGAGCAUCAUUUUGUUCUUGGGUAACCCAUAGUCGUGAGUGGGUCCAUUUGCAUGCUACUUAGUUGAAAAGUUGGACCAUUUGCUCCGACGCCUACCUCCCGGAUUCCAUGCUCGGAUAAAACAAGAAUAAAAAAAAUAUUUAUAAUUUACAAAUGGGGGAAAGAAAAAAAUGUCAACAACAAACCAGGAAAAAAGAGUAGUAAAAUUCAUGUCACAUGCUAGUGAGAGAAGGGGUUGUUACACUCACUCGAAGUUCUUUCCAAAAUAUCGCAUGGUAUUUUAUUUUAUGUGUCAGCGCAGUUGUGAAUGGAACGUGCAAAAGUCCAAAUUGGCGUUUUUCCUUUUCCCGUGUAGGAUGGCGACCUUUAAUAAAUAUUUAAAACAAAAAACGAAAAAAAGGAGGGAAAAGGGAUCAGAAAAGAUAAAACAAUGUGUACAAGAGCUCAAUUAGUUUGCAAAUUACUGUUUGGAUUUUGAUAGUAUUUUAUUUGUCCAUCUAUAUUUGAUGGAAAAGAGAAUUUAAGAUAUUUCUGAAACAAAAGCAUUAGUGUAAAACUAAAUUAAGGUAUAAUUAAGUUAGUUCAAUGCAUUAAUUUAAGAAACUUGAUCUAUCCAAAGUACAAAAUUAGAUGAAAUCCAUUUCAAUGGUUAAAAUGAUCAAAAUCAAACUUUUUCUAAGUAUUUUUUAAAAGCAUCAAUAUUAAAAGACAAUUUUAUAUUUAGUCGGAGUUUGGACAAAACCAAAAAGCACACAAAAUCCAAGCGACCAUCUCUAGCUUGGAUAGUCACUUGAUCCCACCUAGAGAUGUGCAUGAGUAAAAGGAUUUGAAAAUGGAAAUUGACUAAAUAUUUAGUUGAUCAAUUAAAUUUGCAAUGUCAUAUGCAAUCCUAAUAGCUAGUCAUCUAAUCAAUUAGGUAGUCAAUCAAGUGUUUGUAAUGACUAUUUUGUACAAAAAACCACAUGUAUAGUUAAAUAUAAUGCAUUUCAUUUAUAAAUCUUCUAAUUCUUGAAUAACGAUCCUAUCAUCCUUUGAAAAUUUUUAUUACACCUUUUUUACUUUUGUUCUAAAACUUACAUAUCACCCUUAAUUGUACCAUGAGAACCUAGCUAUUUUUUUUUUUUUUGUAAUUCAUCAAAGUUAGCUUUUGUAUUCAUUGUUGUAUUAUUUUUAGUAUAACUUAGAAAGCUAGUGUUUUCAAGUGAGUAAAAUUAACUUGUAAAUAUUGUAAAGAUUCAUUGAUAUGUAUCUUAAACUAAGUGUACAAAUUAAAACAUUUGCUAGUAGAUUUUCUCAAAAUUUAGAAUAGAGCUUGAGGCUAUUGAAAUAGGUGGGGUUACACCAAACCACAUCACAUCGUUGUUUGCACCUUUUUUCACUCUCUUUUACUUAGUUUCUCUAUAUUUGUUGUCUAGUAAUAUCCUAUAGGCUUGAUGGGUUAGGGAGCAUCCCUUUGUGAAAAAAUUUCAUUCAAUUCUUAGUUGUAUUACGCAUAUAUAAAAUGCCUCAUUGUUUUAAUGGUAUUCAGUCGUGGCAUCACAGAUAUGGGCAUCUAAAUUUUAAAAGUUUGAAACUUUUGUAAAGCAUGUUGAUAAAAUCCAUGAGAGUUGUGUACUUGGGAAGCAACAUCGAGGUGACUUUAUUUUUUUUUCCUUUUAUAAUGCCACACCUAAGUCCGGUUUCUAAAUGCUAAAGUGAAAGGGUAGGUAUGGACCAUUGAAAUGUGAUCACAACUUUUGGCCUUUUCCUUUCUCUGCAGCCAUGUUGUCUCUUUUUUCUUUUGCAUGAUUUUCUUACCAAAACAGAAUCAUAGACUUGUUUAGUCUCUAAGCUACUAUAUUAUAUCUCGGUGGACUUUUAAGAGUGCAACCGACAUAGAGCACAUGCAAGUGGGCAUAUGGGACAUGAAAUUUCUUCUUACAAAGAUUGCAUGAUUUUUAUAUUAGAGUUGUUCACGUGCAAUGUAUUUAGCUUGUUUUGCAGUUAAAUUAAUUGGAUAAGUAAACAUUGGCAUUUCUAAAUCGACUGUGAAGUGCUUCAUGUACGUGUAAAGUAUUAGAAAUUUCUUUCUUGGCAACUUGUUUUUUCCUUGCCAUCUACUGGUAGGUUUGACUAAAAUUAUAUUCCCUGUCAUGCUAAUUAAUUUUCAUGUGCAUGCUCAAAAGAAGAGUAUGACCUUAGUGCACCAAAAUCACUUUGAUUAAUUUGUGAUAGGUUUUUUUGCAUCAUUUAGAUAAUGUUUAGUUCUAAGAAAAAUUUAUAUAAAAAUGGUUUAUUUAUCUUACAUAUAUAUAUAUAUAUAUAUAUUUUUUUUUUUUUCAUUUUUUUUUCUUCUAUUUUAUUUAUUUAUUUUAUUUUCCUUAUGUUUUCCUCACAUUUUCCGGAACUAAACAUAGUCUUACGAAAUCAACAAUUGCCUUCAACUGAGUAGAUUCUGUUGUUUUAGCAAUGUUAGGCUGCUAACUUGUGGUGGUACGAACCAAAUGACCCAUGUUAAUCUUGGCUUGGUUUGAUUUGGCUCUAUCUCAGAGAGCUAAAGGAUCACGUCAACUCUGGUUUCUACUAUUCAGGUCCAUUCCCAGAUGAACUGGUUCAAAUUUGAGAAAAUGGUAACAGACCUUUAGUGAUGUUGGUUUGGAGCCAGUUGCCAAACCCGCCCUGAGCUUUACCACUAAUGUCAAGGGAGAAAGCCAUUUGAACAAAAACAAUAGCUUCAAGAGACUGAAUCGUGGAUGAAAUCUGAUCCACAUUUCUUCUCAUUUUGGGAAAAAAUGAGAACUUAACUACAAAGAUUCUACUGCCUCAUUCAUAGUGCUUUUCCUGAUCCAAGGUUGGUUCGUUUCCCAAAUUGUGAGGUGCACGUGCCACUCUCACGCUCAGGAGUGUAUCCACGUGGUGGACAUCAGAUGGUGGCUUAAUAUCUGGUGUCGGUGGCUUUACUUUACUAGGAGAGUAGUGUGUCUUCAUCUCAUUCACUGCCGGAGGGUGGCGUAAGCAGUGACGCUAAGGUGGGGCACAGUCAAUAUCAUUUGCAUUUGACCAUUAUAGUUUUCUCCCGGCUUGAAAGUAACCUUAUCGUGAUAAAGGAUUACUAGCACUAGUUCAGAUGACCGUCAUGUUAAUUCGGACCAUGUUUGUGUCACAUUAUCAGCAACCAUGUGUUUAUGGUUCAUGCUAUCUGCAACUAAACUUGAUAUAUAACCAGGUGAACUUCAAUCAAAAUUCUGGAAGUACUCUUGUGAUAGAUGGUGCCUGUCUGCAGAGUCCAUCAAUUGAAAAAUGGAGUGAGUGUAUCUAUAAGAGGGAAGGCUUGGCAAAUGUUCAGUUUUCUGGGAAUUCAACAAGGAUCUAAAAUAGAUUGUUUUCUUUGCCGACUUCAAUGGUUGAAAUUUGAGAAGAUUGUGUCCACAUAUCACAACUAUUACUGGUCCUUCUGUUGCAAUUUAUCCUGUAAGGCUCUAACAUGUCUUCCAAUUCCCACUUCCCUGUUACUCCAGGAAAGCUAUUUCUGUCAUUGUGAAGAAGAAAAGAGAAUGUACAUAUCGAUGCUUUUAAGUGACUGGAGCAUUCAUAUCAGGUGGUCUGCAGCCAUAUAUGCCACUUUGUGAAGGUUGGAACAGUCAAUCACUAGGCUAUAUAUUGGUGUGGCCCAGCCACUUCAAUCAAGGACAAGUCUUCAUACUUAAAGUCAAAUUCUGCCUUUAGUCUCAUUAUAAAUUGCUGUUUAAAUAUUAAGCAAACUUUUGUUUAAUGCGAUUAAGACAGUACUAACUCAAUACUUGUUCUAUUUUUGGAUGCAAAUGCUUGAUGGUUUCAUCAUUGGAUGGGAUAAAGGUGCAUUCAUGAUUAUGAAUACUUGUAGUUAUAUUUUCAUUCUCUUUUUUCUCAAUGAGACUUGUUGGCACAAUGUUGCUGUUCAGAAACCUACCUCUCCAUGGAAAAUAAGUUGCGAUUGAUAGUACUGGAUAUGUUCAAGAAAGCUAAAUAUAGAUAGCACAAAAUAUUAUCGAUAUAAAUAGCAUUAACAGCGUACGUAUGUCUCAAUGCUCAUCAGCUAUAAGCAUGGGACAAACACUUACUAUGAGCAACUUACGUCAAAAUUCCAGAAUAGGACAUAGAAGUGACAGAUCUAUAUAUAUAGAACACUGCAUAUGAGUCACAAGAAAGGAAAUUACGGGUGCAUAGCAGCUCUUAUUUUACAUACUACUACUCAUACUGAUCAAAGUCACUCAGUUGGGAUGGGUGGGAGUAGGAGGUUUGUGGGGUGGCUUGUGCGGAGGAGUUGGCAGCUUCUUUCCAGGACCUGGUUGCUUCUCUGCUGGAGUUGAAGGAGGCUUAAUCUUCCGAGGUGGCUUGUAUGAGUCUUCAGCAUUCUCAGCUGGAGGGUGACCAGGGUUGUGACCAUAAUGUGGUGGCUUCUCUCCCUUAGGUGGUUUGCCAACUGGGGUUGGUGGCUUGUAUGAGUCUUCAGCAUUCUCAGCAGGAGGGUGACCAGGGUUGUGACCAUAAUGUGGUGGCUUCUCUCCCUUAGGUGGUUUGCCAACUGGGGUUGGUGGCUUGUGUUCUGGGAGUGGCUUCUCCCCCUUGGGAGGUUUUUCCAAUGGGGUUGGUUUGUGUUCAGGAGGUGGCUUCUCCACUGGAGGCUUGUGUUCAGGAGGUGGCUUCUCCACCGGUGGCUUGUGUUCAGGAGGUGGCUUCUCCACCGGAGGCUUAUGCUCUGGUGGUGGCUUCUCCACCGGAGGCUUAUGCUCUGGUGGUGGCUUCUUGAAUGGGGGAUGCUGAGGGUAAUCAGCAAGUGAGGGGGCGGUGAGAACCACCAGGCCAAGCAACACCACUAGCAAAUAUGUAGGAGACAUCUUUGGGUUUGGGCUCAGAUGGUGCAAAACUAGGAGAAUUGGCUAGCCUUUUAUAGCGGAUCGUACUCAAUAAUGAAAUGACACGUGUCAUUAUGACCCAUGUGUAAUGGGGUCGAUUUGGGUCCUACAGUGUUGAAAACUUCGACAUCCAGUUUUGGCCUUUUGCUUUCUCUACAGCCGCCUUGCUUUUUCCCUCUUUCCUUUUGUUUUCCUCCUGCCCCAUUCUAUCAACUAAACACAAUUAUGUAGUUGUUUAAUUCUUAAAUGAGAUAUUAUCGGUCAAUCGUAUUAUAUUUUAUCAAGAGAGAACGGAGUGCAAUGCAGCUGUAAUUUUAUCGUUUACUUUUAUCUCUUGGACCACUGCAUUUUUGUUAAGAGGUGCAAUAAUACACGUCUUUAUCUGCCAUUCAAUGUUUACAGUAAAGAGAGGGCACAAAACUCUUCACUGCUCUGCAUGUGUCCCAAAAAUGCGAUUGGACAAAUUAUGAUUUGCAUGCUAAAAAGAGGCAAAUGAGGUUAAUUCGCACCAUAAUUAUUUGGUUUUCUGGACACCAUAAAAAGAUGUUAUACAGGCAGGGAAAAACCUUCAGAGUUAGCUACCAAAGAUAAUUAUCAAGCAGAUAUCACCAAGAGAAUUCCAUAGAGUCUGAAUCAAAGACAGAUUGCUCGCUCGUGGGGGUUCUUACUUUCUUUUGGGUAUAACUCACUGAGGUCACUGUCUUUUUUAUUUGCAUUUCACAGUUAGAGUUCUGCUCUGGAAGGUUUGUUCUGGAAACAUAUAAAAGGAGCAUCAUUUUGUUCUUGGGUAACCCAUAGUCGUGAGUGGGUCCAUUUGCAUGCUACUUAGUUGAAAAGUUGGACAAUUUGCUCCGACGCCUACCUCCUGGAUUCCAUGCUCGGUAAAACAAGAAUAAAAAAAAAUAUAUAAUUUACAAAUGGGGGAAAGAAAAAAUGUCGGAAAAAAUAGUAAAAUUCAUGUCACAUGCUAGUGAGAGAAGGGGUUGUUACACUCACUCGAAGUUCUUUUCAAAAUAUCGAAUGGUAUUUUACUUUAUGUGUCAGCGCAGUUGUGAAUGGAACGUGCAAAAGUCCAAAUUGGCGUUUUUAUUUUUCCCAUGUAGGAUGGUGACCUUUAAUAAAUAUUUAAAACAAAAGACGAAAAAAAAAAGGAGGGAAAAGGGAUCACAAAAGAUAAAAUAAUGUUUACAAAAGCUCAAUUAGUUUGCAAAUUACUGUUUGGAUUUUGAUAGUAUUUUAUUUGUCGUUCUAUAUUUGAUGUAAAAGAGAAUUUAAGAUAUUUCCGAAGCAAAAGCAUUAGUUUGCUCUGUGAUGUCCCACAUCGAAUAGGGGAGAAAGUUUCUGGCGCUAUAUAUGUAGAGGCUCCUCUUAACCAAGUAGAUGCGUUUUAAAACCAUGAGGGCCCCCUUAGGUCCAAAGCGGACAAUAUCUACAUGAUUGGGUGUAAGUCAUUACAAAUGGUAUCAGAGCCGAUCCCCGACCCCGGUGUGGGGGUUUGUUUGGCCCUGUAAGGGGUGUUUGUCUGUUUGACCCCACAAUCCCAUGGGACACAACGAGGACGUUGUGUCUGCAUGGGGGGGCGUUUGUGAUGUCCCACAUCGGAUAGGGGAGAAAGUUCCUAGUGCUAUAUAUGUAGAUGUUUCUCUUAACCAAGUAGAUGCAUUUUAAAAUUGUGAGGGCCUCUUUGGGCCCAAAGCGGACAAUAUCUACAUGGUUGAGUGUAAGUCAUUACAUGCUCCAUGUCAAUUUCAGCAUUUCUCAUAUGUUUCACACAUACACAGAAGAGCAUCGUUUUUUAAAGCAUGCAUUUAUGUUGGAUUAAUUUGGAUUUUGUGGGAACUGGGGCAAGGAUCACAUGGAAGAGAGGUUGACUUUUUUCAGUACUUCAAUGGUUGAAAUAUGUGAAGGCUUGAUUGAUACUAAAGCUUGAAAUUGCGACUCUGUCAUUUGUAAAAAAAUAUGACAGCUUCCAUGCUCUCGUUUGGUUGCAUUGUCCGGUCGAGAGGUGCAAAAAGCAUUCUCUCUCUUCUAAUAGUCUUUUCGUUUAAAUCAAGGGAUUUGCCUUCCCGGUCGAGGUCCAAUAGAGGGUAACGGUCACCUACUAAACAUUAAAUGCUCCAACAACUAGUGAACUGAUCGACCCCAGCUCGACUAGUUGAGGUUACUUUUUGGUUUUCUUGUCUCCCGAGGUUAGAAACCUAUAAAUAGAGAGCUUCACUUCAUUUAUGAGUAAGAGAACACCUAAAUUUAUUUGUUUACCUACUUGUUUUUGCCAUAAAAGCUCUCAUUUCUUUUCUUGGUGUAUUAAAUCUCCAUUUGCAUAUCCUUUAGUGCACCUUUGUGAUUCAUUCUAGCCUUGAGUUGUAUUUAAGCCUUUGUUGAGCUAGGUUGAGAGUUUCAUACUUGUUUAUUGAGUGUUAAAGCCUUCAAGUGAGUUAAAACUUGAAGAGAUUGUGUAAGAGCCCAUUGGAGUCGGAAUCCAAGUGUAAAGGUGAUUAAAAGCUUGGUUGAAGCUUCAAGUUAGUGGAACUCUCACUCGGUUAUGAGCUUGAGAAGAGUGGACAUAGACAAGGCAGUGUCGAACCACUAUAAAAUCUGAGUUUGAUUUCUCUAACCUUAUCUCUUUAUAUUUGCUUCUCUUGUGCUUAAAUUUUUUGUGUUUAAAAAGAAUUUUUAAAAACUCAAUUCACCCCCUUCUUGGGAGUUUUUCUCUUUUAAGAUCAGCUUUUAUUUUCUCAAUUGGUAUCAGAACUAUGCCUCUUGUUUAAGACUUAAUCGUCUAAGAGGAAAUGGCUAAUCCAUCAAGUUCAUCUCACAUUGAAAGUUUUGCAACCAAUAGACUUCUUUUUUUUUUUUUGCGGGAACUGAUUAUCCCUAUUGGAAAACUAAAAUGACUUGGUUUUUACAAUCAAUUGAUUUAGAUGUAUGAGAUGCCAUUGAAGAUGACCUAACUUUUCCUUCAAAACUAGUUGAUGGAGUCAUGGUUCCAAAACCUAAGCAAGAAUGGGAUGAGCGUGAUUGAAGAAAUUUUCAAUUAAAUGCUAAAGUCGUUUAUACUUUGCAAUGCUCUAUGGACAGAAAUGAAUAUAAUAGAAUAUGUCAAUGCAAAUCGGUUAAAGAAAUUUGGAGAUUGCUUGAAAUAACUCAUAAAGGAACAAAUCAAGUUAAAGAGUCAAAAAUCAAUUUACUUGUUCAUAGAUAUGAAUUGUUUUUUAUGAAAGAUAAUGAAACUAUUGUUAAGAUGAUCACUAGGUUCACCAACAUUGUUAAUGGUCUUAAAGCCUUGGGAAAGACCUACAAGGAAUCCGAAAACGUGAUGAAGAUCUUGAGGUCACUUCCAUCAAAGUGGCAUACCAAGGUCACCGCAAUUUAAGAAGCAAAAGACUUGAUCAAGCUACCUUUGGAGGAGUUCAUAGGGUCAUUGAUGACAUAUGAAAUCAAUUUGGCAAAGAAGUAACAAAAAGGUGAAGACAAAAAGAAGAAGAACAUAACUCUCAAAGCUACAACUAAGGAAGAAGAAGUUGAAGAAGAAAAACAAAUUGAAGAAGAUGAAGAUUUAGCCCUCAUCACAAGAAAGUUCAACAAAUUCAUGAGGGGUGAAAGGUUUAGAAGAAGAAGGUUCACUUCUAGAAGAGACUUUUCUAAAAAGGAAUCUUCAUCUAAUGGUGACAAAAAGAGAUGGGAAGAGAAAAGAGACUUGGUGUGUUUCAAGUGCAAGAAACCGGGACACAUUAAAUAUGAUUGUCCUCUCUACAAAAGUGAAGUCAAGAGGAAAAAGAAUAAGGCAAUGAUGGCCACUUAGAGUGAAAGUGAAGAUGAAUCAUCCGAAGAAGAAAAUGAGAAAGAAGUGGCAAACAUGUGUUUCAUGGCAAUAGAUGAACUUGAUGAGGUAAAAUCUAACCUUAGUGAUUAAGAUAUACAUGAUGCAUUUGAAGAAUUGUAUGAGGAUUUUUAAAAACUUAGUUUGAAAAAUAUUUCUCUUAAAAAGAAAGUUCAACAACUUGACAAAGAACUUAGAGAAGUAAAAGAAAAAUUUUCAAAUGUUAAAGUUUCUAAAACUCAUCUUGAAAAAGAAAAUGAGAUUCUAAGAAAGAAAAAUGAAUAGUUGAACUCCUCUCUUUCAAUCUUUUCUUCUAGACAAAAAUCUUUUGAAAUGAUUCUAACUAGCUAAAAAUGUGUUUUUGACAAACAAGGGUUAAGAUUUAAAUCUUCAAAAAAUCAAAAGUAUUUUAAAAACUAUUUUGUAAAGGAAUCCACAAGUGCAAGUCCUUCCACUACUUGCAACUUUUGUGGAAGAGAAUGGCACAUUAGUAGUACGCCCUUUAAGAAAUGGUUCUCAAAAGAAUUUAAAUGCAAAAACUAAAAAAGAUUUGGAUUGAGAAAUCCAAGGUCACUAACCCUCAAGGACCCAAAAAGAUAUAGGUACCUAAAUCAACUUGAGUUUUAUGUUGUAAGGUUCAAAGAAUGAUAAGUGGUUCUUAGAUAAUGGUUGCUCAAGACACAUGACCGGAGAUGAAUCCAAGUUUGCUUUUCUUAAAAAGAAAAAUGGAGGAUAUGUUACCUUUGGAGACAAUGCAAAAGAAAGGAUGAUUGGUCAAGGCAACAUUGGUAAUGGCACAUCCUCUCUCAUUGAAAGUGUUUUAUUAGUAGAUGGUUUCAAACAUAACCUUUUAAGCAUUAGUCAAUUUUGCGACAAAGGUUUUUAAGUGAUUUUUUAAGCAUCUCAUUGCAUCAUCAAGGAUAUUCAAAAUGAUAAAACCAUUUUCAUGGGCCAUAGAUGUGAUAAUGUUUAUGCUAUAAAUAUUUCAAAAUAUGAUGGCCAUGAUAGAUGUUUUUCAAGCAUGCAUGAUCAAAGUUGGUUGUGCCAUAGGAGAUUGAGACAUGCUAACAUAGACCUCAUUUCCCAACUCAACAAAGAUGAACUUGUUAGAGGCCUUCCCAAAAUAAUUUUUUAAAAAGAUAAAGUUUGUGAAGCUUGUCAAGUGGGAAAGUAAAUCAAAAACUCUUUUAAAAACAAAAACUUCAUUUCCACAUCUAGGCCACUUGAGUUGUUGCAUAUGGAUUUAUUUGGUCCCUCUAGGACACCAAGUCUUAGAGGAAAUUCUUAUGCAUAUGCUAUUGUGGACGACUUCUCUAGAUACACAUGAGUCUUGUUUUUUAGUCAAAAGAAUAAAGUUUUUUAUGAGUUUUCAAAGUUUUGCAAUAAGAUUCAAAAUGAAAAAGGUUUUUCAAUUACUUAUAUAAGAAGUGAUCAUGGGAGAGAAUUCGAAAAUAUUGAUUUUGAAGAGUAUUGCAAUGAGCAUGGAAUUGACCACAAUUUUUUGGCUCUUAGAACUCCUCAACAAAAUGGGGUAGUUGAAAGGAAAAAUAGAACUCUUCAAAAAAUGACAAGAACCAUACUAAAUGAAAACAACUUACCAAAAUAUUUUUAGGCCAAAACGGUUAACACUUCUUGUUAUGUUUUAAAUAGAGUAUUAUUGAGGCUCAUACUUAAGAAAACUCCCUAUGAGCUUUGGAAAAACAAAAAACCCAACAUUAGUUAUUCCAAAGUCUUUGGAUGCAAUAUUUUAUAAUAAACACCAAAGACAAUCUUGGAAAAUUUGAUGCAAAAUUGGAUGUUGGAAUUUUCCUUGGUUACUCAACUUCAAGUAAAGCUUUUCGAGUUUUAACAAAAGAACCAUGGUUGUAGAGGAGUCCAUCCAUGUUAUUUUUUAUGAAUCUCCAAGAAAGAGAGAGGAUUGAUGAUGAUUUAGGUUUGAAGACCUCUAUAGGAAGAUUGCAAAUCGAAGAUAGAAGACAACAAGAAGAAAAUGGAGAGAAUCCAAAGAAAGAAGGAUCACCAUUGGCACUACCCCCUCAUCAACAAGCGCAAGGUGAAUCAAGUCAAGAGCUUCCUAAAGAAUGGAAGUUUGUCAUCAAUCACCCACAAGAUCAAAUUAUAGGCAAUCCAUCUAGUGGGGUAAGAACUAGAUCCUCUCUUAGAAAUAUUUGCAAUAAUCUAGCUUUUAUCUCUCAAAUUGAGCCUAAAAAUAUAAAUGAUGUUUUAGAUGAUGAAAAUUGGAUAAUUGCAAUGCAAGAAGAGUUAAAUCCAUUUGAAAGAAGUGGAGUAUGGGAAUUAGUACCAAGACCUUCAAAUCAAAGUGUUAUUGGAACUAGAUGGAUCUUUAGAAAUAAAAUGGAUGAAAAUAGCAUAAUUGUUAGAAAUAAAGCAAGAUUGGUAGCCCAAGGUUUUAAUCAAGAAGAAAUGAUAGAUUAUGAAGAAACCUUUGCCCCCGUAGCUAGGUUGGAAGCCAUUAGGAUGCUACUUGCCUUUGCAUGUUUUAAAGACUUUGUUUUAUAUCAAAUGGAUGUGAAAAGUGCUUUUUUAAAUGGUUUUAUAAAUGAAGAAGUAUAUGUUGAACAACCACCCGGUUUUCAAAGUUUCAACUUUCCUAACCAUGUUUUUAAACUUAAAAAGACACUUUAUGGUUUGAAACAAGCACCUAGAUCAUGGUAUGAAAAAUUGAGUAAAUUUCUUUUGAAAAAAAUGUUUUAAAAUGGGAAAAAUUGACACAACUCUUUUUAUAAAAACCAAAGAAAAUGAUAUGCUCUUAGUUCAAAUAUAUAUUGAUGAUAUCAUUUUUGGUGCUACUAAUGUCUCUCUUUAUGAAGAAUUUUCUAAGUGCAUGCAUAGUGAGUUUGAAAUGAGCAUGAUAGGAGAACUCAACUUCUUCCUUGGACUUCAAAUCAAGCAACUAAAGGAAUGAACCUUCAUCAAUCAAGCAAAGUAUAUAAGAGAUCUUCUCAAAAGGUUCAACAUGGAAGAAGCCAAAACAAUGAAGACUCUAAUGAGCUCAUCCAUUAAGCUUGAUAAGGAUGAGAAAGGUAAAUCCAUUGACUCUAUUAUGUAUAGAGGCAUGAUAGGUUCUUUGCUCUAUUUGACCACUAGUAGACCUUACAUUAUGUAUAGUGUGUGUUUGUGUACUAGAUUUCAAUCUUGUCUUAAAAAAUCUCACUUAAGUGUCGUGAAAAGAAUCCUCAAAUAUUUGAAAGGGACAAUGGACAUAGGCUUAUGGUAUCCUAAGAGUGAUAACUUUGAAUUAAUUGGUUUUUUGGAUGCUGAUUUUGUCAGUUGUAGGGUUGAAAAAUAAAACACUAGUGGCACUUUUCAUUUCUUAAGACACUUACUUGUCUCAUGGCAUAAUAAGAAGCAAAAUUUGGUAGCUUUGUCAACAGCAGAAGCUAAAUACAUAGCAACUGGUUUAUGUUGUGCACAAAUCCUUUGGAUGAAAUAAACACUUAGUGAUUUUGAUUUAUCUUUUGAGCAUAUUCCUAUUAAAUGUGAUAAUAGUAGUGCCAUAAGUAUAUCAAAAAAUCUCGUGCAACACUCUAGGACUAAGCAUAUAGAGAUUAGACAUAAUUUUCUUAGAUAUCAUACACAAAAGGAUGAUAUAACACUUGAAUUUGUAAGCAUAAAAGACCAACUUGCCGAUAUCUUUACAAAACCUCUAAGAACAUUUUGUUGAUAUUAGAGGACAAUUAGGAGUGAUUUCUUUAUGAUCUAAUGUGAUGAAUUCUUGAUGAAUAUACUUUUUGAUUGCAUGAAUUUCAUGUCAUAUAUGCAUCAUAUAGAAAUAUACUUAGAUAAUGGUCAAAUUUCGACCAAAAAUCAAAAUUCCCAUGGCAUUAGGCAUAAAAAUUUUGGAAUUUCAACUGAAAAUGGUAGGAGGAGGAUCACAAAAUGAGAAAGUAUGCAAAAAUUGAAAAAUCAAAACGUUGACCAAGCGGUCAAUCGGACUAGACCGAUCGACUAGUUUGUCGAGAUUUAGGAUUUUUAAGAGACUCCAACGCUUCAAUUUUUGCACCGUUCUCCUCUAUUUCUUCACGGUUUCUCUGAUUUUGUCUUUUAGAGACUAAUUUGAGUGCGUUUUGGAUCAAUUGAAGCAUUUUGGAUUGGAUUUUAGGAAGAUUGAAAGUUAAGGUUUCGGAUUUGGGUCGCCUUCUCUUCCUCUCGCGUGUCACAAUCAGCUUUAGCAUUGUUCUCUUUCCAUUUUCACACACCUAGGGUUUCAGUUGUGAGCAUCUCUCUCUCUUUACCAACCACUACUCCCUUGCUUCUUCCAUAUGGCUCCUAGGCGAGAGUCCGCUACUUCUAGGGCACAAGGCAAGCACCCAACUGAGUCGUCUCAGUCAAAGGCACGUCGAAAAGUGAGAUUUGACAUUGCCUUGUUCAGUUCCAUGGAGGACUACCAACUAUACAAGCAACACUUUGCUUAGAGACGAGUAGUUCCCAAGAGAAAUAUUAAUUUUCCUCAACUUCAGCAUUUCGAAUUUAAGGGUCUAUUUACUAGGAUGGUUGGUUGUCUAUUGUCACAAUUUCGGAGCCGGUUUUCCUGACCUUAGUGCGAGUUUUUUACUCGAGGGCGACUUAUGGCAUGGGUGGCAUGAUCAUUUCUACUGUUGGAGGAGUUGAGAUCUGUCUGGACCCAGAGAGCAUCUGCCAUAUUUUCGAUAUUGCUCUGGUUGGACUCAAAGUAUACAAGUCCAAAAUGUGGCCCAUUGUGCCAGGAUUUGAGCUUAGAGAGGUCAUUCAGAGGAUUUGUGAACUUCCAGACGCCCAGGAGAUGGGCAAACCAUUGCCACACAGUUUGACGGUCAUCAACAGGGUGCUACACCAUAUAUUGUGCUCUAUCUUUCUACCACGAAGUGGACAUUGAGAUGAGGUCUCUUAUUAUGAGGCAUUCCUUAUUGACUCCAUUCUAACGGAGAGACGAAUUCAUCUACUAUGUCAUCAUUCACUAAGCCUCCUCACAGUGACAUACCACCUCAUCAGGCACCUCUUGCUCCUGACCAUGCUCCAUUGAUGGAUUUAUUUACUCAUAUUAGCUCUCUAGGCACUCGCAUGAAGGAGUUUGUUGUAGUUAGUGAUACAUGGUUCUACUCCAUAGAGGAUCGCAUGGAUCAGUAUCAGACUGGCUUCACGUCACAGUUUGAGUAUCUCCAAUAGAGGAUUGAGCAUAUUGAGGAUCACUUGAGCAUGAGAAGAUGAUGGCUUUUCUAUGCUCUGUGUUUCCACCUCCACCUCGUCAACCUUGAUUUCUUAGAGACCCAUUGUUUUCAUUUUGUAAUGUUGCCAAAAGGGGGAGAUAUUUAGGAUCUAGGACUCUAUAGGAGACUUACAUGCAUAUCAUUUUCAUAUCAUUGUUUGGAUCGUACAUAUUGGAUAGUGAUACUUUUUACUUAUAUAUGAUAUGCCUAUAUGUUUCAUGUCUUACAUUGUUUCUUAUUGCAAAUUAUCUCUAACAUGUCUUGAUUAUCUUUUUUUUAACUUCAUAAAUUUUGAUUGUUAACCCAUGAUUGGUUUGAGGGGAAGAUUCUUCUUCUCCUAGAUAACCAAGGUUUGUCAUCAUAAAAAAAUUGGAGAUUGUUAGCCCAAGGGUUCUCCUAAUCAUGUUUUGAUGAUAACAAACCAUGCUUAAGUUACUAAUUGGUUUGAAUUAUAAAGAAUUUCAAGUGUUAAUUUGAAAAUUCAUCAAAGAACCUAAUGGAUGCAAGAUCAAGAUUUUUGGAAGACCUUUAAUCAUAAGAAACAUAUGUAAGAUGAAUGCAUGGGUGCACUUAAGAUUUGCAUAUCAUUUCAUGCAUAUUUGGAAAACACGGUUUAUGCUUUAAAGUUACAUUUCCAUCAAAAUUUGAGAUCCAUCAAAUGAACCUUAGGAAAAAUGUUUUAAAAUUGGCAUAUAAUUUUACCUAAAGACCUUGCCUAAGUGUUAGAAGCAAAAGGACAAAAAAAAUAUAGGUUUUCUGGUCAAAAAUGGUGAACCAGUCAAGGCAUUGUCUAAAUCAGCUCAAUCGGCCAAGGUACCGGUCGAUCGGUUUCCCUUUCCCUGUCGAGAUCUAGUCAAGAGGUACAAAAAUCACAAUCUCUGUCUCUUUCUCUCUUUGUCUAUCUUCCAGUAGUCUUUCCUUCCCGGUCGAGGGAUUUGCCUUCCCGAUUGAGGUCCGAUUGAGAGUAAUAGUCACUUGCCAAAUAUUAAAUGCUCCAACAGUUAGUGAACUGGUCGACCCCCACCUUGCCCAGUUGAGGUUACUUUUUGGUUUUCUUGGCUCCCGAUGUUAGAAACCUAUAAAUAGAGAGUUCCACUUCAUUUAUGAGCAAGAGAACACUUGCAUUUAUUUGUUUACCUACUUGUUCUUGCCUUAAAAGCUCUCAUUUCUUUUCUUGGUGCAUUAAAUCUCCAUUUUGAUAUCCUUUAGUGCACCUUUGUGAUUCAUCUUAGCCUUGAGUUGUAUUUGAGCCCUUUUUUUAGCUAGGUUGAGAGUUUCAUACUUGUUAAUUGAGUGUUAAAGCCUUCAAGUGAGUUGAAACUUGUAGAGAUUAUGUGAGAGUCGAUUGGAGCCGAAAUCCAAGUGUAAAGGUGAUUAGAAGCUUGGUUGAAGCUUCAAGUUAGUGGAAUCCUCACUCAAUUAGGAGCUUGAGGAGAGUGGACGUAGCCAAGGAAGUGUCGAACCACUAUAAAAUUUGAGUUUGAUUUCUCUAACAUUGUCUCUUUAUAUUUGUUUAUCUUGUGCUUAAAUUUAUUGUGUUUAAAAAGAAUUUUUAAAUACCCAAUUCACCCCCCUCUUGGGUGUUUUUCUCUUUUAAAAUUAGCCUUUAUUUUCUCACAAACUAUUGUAGUAUAGUGGUUUUUAGGUGUCAUCCAUUAGGAUGAAUUGUUCUCGGUAAUUAAGGCGUGAAUGAGAGGAGAAUUAAUGAUUGUGAUUAAGUAAAAUUGAUUUGAAAAUUCAUGGUGAAAAAUCAAUUUAACAAUGGUUUCUAAUUGAGAAAAACAAUGAAAUGUGAAAUAAAAUAAAAUUAAUAGGAAAUGAAAUUCUCGAAGUUAGAAUUUUCUAAAAAACAAAUUCCAUGGUGAAUGGAUGUUGAGAUCUAAUUUUCAUCAAGUUAGAUUGAAAACCGAAAUUUUCAUAUAAACUGAUUUUUUAUUUAGUUUUAGGUCUAGAUUUAAUUUCCCUUAAAAUUAGGUUAUUUAAUCCAAGAAAUCAAUUCAAAUCAUAUAUUCAAUUCAUCUUAAAUUAUCUUCCAAUUAUUCACACAAUGCAACUAUUCAAUCUCAUCAAAUCUAGCUUUUAAGAAUUUAAUGAAUCUACCUAGUUUGCAUUGUAAUAGUCAUCCAUGACAAUUUGAAGAGAAAAAUAAUUCAAUUAAUCAAUCACUUGGAUCAAAUUACCUUUGCAAUUAAAGUUCAUUUCUCUAAUUCACCACAGAUUUUGUCUCUAGAUCCUCCUUUCUCAAAGAAAAAUGAGAUUUAGCCACACAUGAUUGGAGAUUUGGUCUCAUAAGGCAUGUUUAGCUAGUGAUAAAAUGAGAGAAAAUAAAGAAAAAUAGAGAAUUCGAUUAAGAAAGAAAAUCUAAAAAAUUCUACAAUUAGAAAUGUCCAAAAAGCUUUUUCAUGAGAAAAUCAAGUUUCUAUUUAUAGGCCAAGGUCAAGUGGACACUUGACAUCAUCUAAGAGGUCUUCCGGAAGCUUCUUCAUCAAGAAAUCUGGAGUUUAAUAAUAAAAUGGUCAUUUCACAAGAGCUCAAACAAUUUCGCAUGAUUAUGUGAAAUAAAAAAUGCAACAACAGCAAUUUACAUCUUCUUGGAGCAUUUCGCAUGACUGUGUGAAAUUUUCACAUGAUCAUGUGGAAUCGACUUGACAACUCUCAUUUAGCCUACAACAUAAUUCCACCUUUUGGUCCAUUUUUCAUAGUCAUGCGAAAUGGAAAUAUUUGAUUUUUAAGUUUUCUUUUGUCAUUUCUUUCAUUUCCUUCUCUUGAUUCCACUUCAACUACCUCCGAAUCCUGGUCCAAACCAAUUGCAUUACUUCUUUCAUUAUGCAUUUGGAUCAUCAUCAACAUUAUUUGUUCUCUUCAAUUUGAUUCAUCUCUUUUGUCACCAAUUUAUCAAAAUCAUACCUUGAAAUGACUCCAAAACUUCAUAAAACUUGUUAGUAACUCUUGCAAGGGCAACAACAUAUUAAUUAAGUGUUUUAGGCAUAGUUACUACUCAAAAGAUGCGAAACUCAUGAUAAUUAUUAUAUAAAAUAUGCUCUUUUUGAGUAGUAAUCAACUUUCUUGCAUAAGCAGACCUUUUAGGGUGGAGUACUAAAGACCAAUAUGCUUGUCCUUGUUGUAAUAAAGAAACUUGCUCUUAUUGAUUGCACCAUGGGAGAAAAUUUUGCUACAUGAGUUAUCAUCAAUUUCUUCCCACCAAUCAUAGAUUUAGACGUGACAAGAGGCCUCUUAAUGGCAAGGAGGAACUGACACUCACACUUAUACAAUUAUCGGGCAUUGAUGUGUUGCAACAAUUAGAAUAACUUACACCAAUUAUGUUGGGGAAGUCACAAAAGGCAAACAUGAAAACUAAAAGGAAAAAAGAAAAAUGUUACAUAUCACCACAACUGGAAAGAAAAAAGUAUUUACUUUCAUUUGCCAUAUUGGAAAGCACUUAUUUUACAUCAUAAUAAUUUAGACAUAAUGCAUAUUGAGAAAAAUGUGUGACAAUAUAAUUGAGACAUUGUUCAGUAUUGACGAAGAAACAAGGACAACCUAAAUAGUCAUCUCGAUUUACAAGCUCUAACUAUUAGAAAUGAGAUUCACCCAAUAGAAAGCAGGACCAAAUUUAUUUUGCUUGCAACAUGCUACUCACUCACCCCAAAUGAGAUUAAGGAAUUUUGCAAGUUUUUGAAAUCAAUAAAGGUCCCCAAUGGCUAUUCUUUCAAUAUCUCUCGUUAUGUGCAACUCAAUGAAAGGAAGAUAUAUGAGCUCAAAUUGUAUGAUUGUCAUGUCCUAAUGCAACAACUUCUCUCACUUGUAGUUCGUGGAGUUCUACAUAAGAAUGUUUGUGGAGUUAUCAUAGAAUUGCGUAAUUUUUUCAAGCAAUUGUGCUCAAAGGUGUUAGAAACAAAUCACUUACACCAACUUGAGAACAAUAUUAUUGUCAUACUAUGUAAAAUGGAGCAAAUAUUUCUUCCAUCAUUCUUUGAUAUUAUGGUGCAUUUACUUGUGCAUCUAGUAAGGCAAAGGUUGCAAGACUUGUGCAAUAUUGUUGGAUGUACCUAAUUGAACGAUAUUGUUAUAAUUUCAUAUGAAUCAUUUAAUUUUAUUUUAUAUUAUGUUCAGUUCAUUAACAUGUACAUUGGUCUACAUAUGGAUGAUGAUAGGUACCUAAGCACUUUAAAGUCAUAUGUGCGUAAUAGAACUUUUCUAGAAGGUUCUAUUGUAGAAAGGUACCUUGCAAAAGAAUGUACAACAUUUUAUUCUAGGUACUUGAAUGAUGUGGAAAUAAAGUAUAAUCACAAUGAUAGAAACUUUGUUGGUUUCAACACUAGAGGAGAUGAAAGGGGUUAUCUUUAAACAUAUUGGACAUGCAUUGGGAAAGCCCAUAUUUCAUUAACUUAGUUCAAAAGAGUGGUCACAAGCACAUUUAUAUGUGUUGACAAAUUGCGAAGAUGUCAUACCAUUCAUUGAGUAAAAAAUUUAUUUGAAUUUUAAUUAAAGCUCUAGUUUAUAUCCUUAAUCAAUGUUUUUUAAAUUCACAAGGAGCACAAGCAAACCAUCAAGGCUAGACCACAUAUACGUGUUUGAGACGUAGAUUUAAUUCAUAACAAGGAAUUUAUCAAGUGGUUUGAAAGACAUGUAAGUAUAUUCCUUAUUAUAAGGGAUUUAUUUCACAUUAUGUUUAUAUUGAAUCCAAACCUAUUAUUGAAUUGUAGGUUGAACAAUUACAUAAUGAAGGUCAUAUAUCUGAACACCUUCUCACAUUAUCAUGUGUUCCAAAUUCAUUAGUUACAUGCUUCAAAUGAUAUAUUGUCAAUGGAUUUAGAUCCCACAUUAAAGAACGUGAUAAAAAAGUUUUUAAAAAAAGACUCAGAAUAAUGGAAUUGUUGUAGUUGCAAAAACGUCAAGCUUUACAAGUGCAUGUGAUAUGAGUCCAAUUAUUAGUGAUGCUCUCUACUAUGGUGUUCUAACUAAAGUUGUUGAGUUACAUUAUCUUGGUGAAAAUAAGGUUGUUUUAUUCGAGUUUGAUUGGUGGGAUGUUACAAAUAUUGGAAAAUUGAUAAAAGAUGAUGAGUACAAUUACACAUUUGUUAACUUUGCAUGAAUUCUAACCACGAACGAACGAUUUGUACUUGCAUCUCCAGCAAAGUAAGUGUUCUAUGUGAAGAAUGCGAAUGAAUCAGAUUGGCAUACUAUCAUGGAGAUGCAACCUCAAGACCUCUAUAAGAUGAACGGGAUAGGAUCCAAUGGUGAUUUUGAACCAUUUCAACAAAGUGAACUACAUGAUCACUAAUAUAUCUCAGAUUUAGUUGAUGAAGAUAUAAUCAAGUGGAACAAAAGUGAUGUUUUAGGACUAAUCAUCCUAAAAAAUAUUGUAGUUUCUUAAAAAAAAAAUGAAAAUGAAGAAGAUAAUUGAACCUUUGUCAUACUUUAAAAAGCAACUAUGCAUUGUUCAUUUUGUAUGUUUUGGUUUUCUUCAUUUAAUUUCCUGAUUUUUGUGAUUCAAUGUCAUAUUAUUGAUCUUGAAAUAUUUUUCUAAUUUUUCAUUCUACGAUGGUUUCAACAAGGAUGACAUCAAGUCAAAAAAGGAAAUGUGGUCCCACACACAAUAUUGCAUUACAGGGAUUAAGGUCAGGGAAGAAGGUAAAAGUUGCAUUUAAUGAGUACAAUCAAUUGGUUAAACAGAAAAAUGGAAAACACUUAUCGAGCUACAUAGGGACACUUGUAUCUAACCAACACAAUGUACCUCUCCAAGCUAGUGAUUGGAAAAAUGUUCCAAAUGAUGCAAAAGAGAAAGUAUGGCCUUUGUUUUGGUAUGUUGUAUUUCUCACUAUAUGAUGUCAUUUCACUGUUAUUCUAUUUUGUGACUAACGUUUGAAUCAUAUGUAAGAAAAAUUUGAAGUAGAUAAAGACUGAAAAGAUUACAUGUUGGGUAUAGCCUCAAAUAAAUAUAGAAGCUAUAAAAAUAUGAUGAAUGCAAAAUACUAUGACCCUUGGCAUAAGGAUGCAUGAGGAGAGGUUAAUACAUAAAUCACCAUUUGUCUCUGAUGUUGAUUGGAAGUGGCUUGUCUCUGAUGCAUAAACCAAAUCCCCCACUGAAUGUUUGAUAUUUGAUAGCAGGAAAAACACACCCGCAGCUAUACACCUCCAUCAUUCAGAUAAUUAUAGUGGGGGAGAUGAUUCAUGGUUGCCCUUAUACCCUUUAUUUGCACCAUCUAUUGAGAUUCUUUAUCAUGGCCAGGUUUUACUGCAGCAAUAAGAUAUGGUGGCAACAAUUUUAUCUAUAGGUGCGGUUCCAGACCGCCUCCAUAGGUGCGGUUCCUGACUGCCUCCAUAGGUGCCUCUUCUUGUAAUGUUUGUUCUGGGAAUUACACUUGAAAGCCUUAUCGUGAUAAGGGAUUACAAACACUAGUUCAGAGGACAGCCAUGUUAAACUUCCACUAUGUUUGUGUCACAUUAUCAGCAGCCUAGUGUUUAUUGGUCAUGCUAUCUGCAACUAAUAUAACCCGGUGAACUUCAAUCUAAAUUCUGAAAGUACUCAUGUGACAGAUGGUGCCUUUCAGCAGAUAUCAUCAAUUUAAAAGUAGUGUGUGUGCCUAUAGGUGGGAAGGCCUUGGCAAAUGUUCAGUAUUCCGGUAAUUCAAGAAGGAUAUAUCUAAAAUAGAUUUUCUUCUUGCCCAUUUCAAUAGUUAAAAUUUGAGAAGAUUGUGUCCACAUCACACAAAUAUUAUUGGUCCUUCUGUUGCAAUUUACCUCUGAACAUGUCUUCCAAUUCCCACGGUCCUGUUACUCCAGGAAAACUAUUUCGGUCAUAUUGAAAAAAAAAAUAUUAAAGAAGGUACACAUGCUUUUAAGUGGACUGGGGCAUUCAUAUCAGGUGGUCUGUAUCCACAUAUGCCACUUCGUGAAAGGUGGAACAGCCUAAUCACUAGGCUAUUUAGUGUGGCCCAGCCACGUUAAUCAAGCACAAGUCUUCAUACUUAAAGUCAAAUGGUGUCUUUAGUCUCAUUACACAUCGCUAUUUGAAGAUUAACUCAUCACUAGUGUAAUGCGAUUAAGACAGUCCUAACUCAAUAUUUGUUCUAGUUUUGGAUGCAAAUGCUUGCUGGUUUCAUCAUUGGAUGGGAUAAAGGUGCAAUCAGGACUAUGAAUACGUGCAGUAAUACUUCAUUCUCUUUUUUCUCAAUGAGACUUCUUGGCACAAUUUUGCUGCUCAGCAACCUACCUUUCCAUGGAAAAUCAGUUGUGACUGAUAGUAAUGGAUAUAUUCUAGAAAGCUAAACAUAGAUAGCAUUCAAUAUUAUCGAUAUAACAUUAACAGCGUAUGUCUCAAUGCUCAUCAGCUACAAGCAAUGGACAAACACUUUGAGUAACUCACAGCAGUCAAAAUUCCUAAACAGGACAGACGUGACAGAUCUAUAUAUAGAACACUGCAUAUGAGUCACAGGAAAAGAUAAUACGGGUACAUAGAAGCUCUUAUUUUACAUAUUACUCAUACUGAUCAAAGUCGCUCAGUUGGGAUGGAUGGGAGAAGGAGGUUUGAGGGGUGGCUUGUGCGGGGAAGUUGGCAGCUUCUUUCCGGGAGCUGGUUGCUUCUUUGCUGGAGUUGAAGGAGGCUUAAUCUUCCGAGGUGGCUUGUAUGAGUCUUCAGCAUUCUCAGCAGGAGGGUGACCAGGGUUGUGACCAUAAUGUGGUGGCUUCUCUCCCUUAGGUGGUUUGCCAACUGGGGUUGGUGGCUUGUUUUCUGGGAGUGGCUUCUCUCCCUUGGGUGGUUUGCCAACUGGGGUUGGUGGCUUGUGUUCUGGGAGUGGCUUCUCCCCCUUGGGAGGUUUUUCGAAUGGGGUGGGUUUGUGUCCUGGUGGUGGCUUCUCUCCCUUGGGAGGUUUACCAAUUGGGGUCGGUGGCUUGUGUUCUGGGAGGGGCUUCUCUCCCUGGGGAGGUUUAGUGGGUGGCUUGUGUUCUGGAGGUGGCUUCUCCACCGGAGGCUUAUGCUCUGGUGGUGGCUUCUCGAAGGGGGGAUGCUCAGGGUAAUCACCAAGUGAGGGGGUGGUGAGAACCACCAUGCCAAGCAACAACACUAGCAAGUAUGUAGUAGACAUCUUUGGGUUUGGACUCAGACAGUGCAAAACUACGAGAAAUCGCUAGCCCUUUAUAGCGGCUCGGACCUAAUACUGACAUAAUAUAAAAUAAAUAUUAUAUUUUAUCAAGAGAGAACAGAGUGUAAUUUUAUCAUUAAUACCGAUCGAGGCCAAAGAAAGAAGACCCAUAAUCCAUUUCCCACAAGCAUACACAAUGCAGCUGUAAUUUUAUCAUUUACUUUUAUCCCUUGGACCACUGCAUUUUUGUUGAGAGACACAAUAACACAUUUUUAUCUGUCAUUCAACAUUUACAGUAAAGAGAGGGCACAAAACGCAAUUAGAUAAAUUAUGUUUUGCCUGCUAAAAAGAGGCAAAUAACUUUAUUUGCAACAUAAUUAUUUUGGUUUCUAGUGACCCCGGGGCCUUUCGGUUGGUUUGGGAUCGGAAAAUGAACAUCAUAGGGGGGGUUGUGCCCUUAUGGGCAUAUAUAUCUGAUAGCUUCAACUGGCCUUGUUCCUAGAAAGAAAUUGCCAAAGAUAUAAACUUAUUCCAGGCUGAAAGUAGAUGAGAGUCAUAAUGAACAUCAACCUUUGUUCAGUUUGAUUCAAUGCCCCCAUAGUGUUCAUUUCACAGAUCUGAAUGAUUAUAUCCGUUGAAUACAUAAAUUAAUGAAGACAAAUAUGAAACCCAAGAUACAUCUCUGCAUAACAACCCCAACCCUGGUUGCUAUGUUUCCCUUCUUCUAUUCACAUGAGGAUACUGGUUAUAAUUGUCAAACUUGCAACAAGCCCUUUGACACCUAACGUCAAUGGACGAAUUAAAAGUCUCCUUCAAACGUCUAUUUCACAGCAUGAAGCUUAUAAAGGAUGCUGACAACCUUCAGAGUUAGCGACAAAAGAUAAUUAUCAAGGAGAGAUAGUUCCAUGAGAAUUCCAAGGAGUCUGAAUCAAAGACAAAUUGCUCACUCAAGGGUUCUUAUUUUCUUUUAGGUACAAAUCUCUUGAGUGUUGUUAAAGAAACACGUCACUGUCAUUUUGAUUUGCAUUUAACAUUUCACUUUUGUUCUGGAAGGUUUGUUCCGGAAACAUAUCAAAUGAGCAUCAUUUUCUUCUUCGGUGACACAUGGUCGCGAGUACGUGGGUCCAUUUUCAUGCCACUUAGUUGAAAAGUUGGAAAGAAAAAACAUGCCAACAAGAAGAUAGUGAGAGAAGGGGCACUUCAAGCCUUUAACAUGAACAAACAGUAAAUAAAAGAUGUUUCUCCACUCAUAAAAGUGUGUUAGAUAGCAAUAUAACGAAUCACAUCCAAAAUCUUUACUAGGCUCAAACAUAAAGAAGACUCAUUUUUAAGAAAAGAUAAAAAUGGCAUUGUCUGAUAGUAUCCAAUACACGAGAUGGCACUUAAUUUGUACAAGAUCUGUCAAUGCUGACGCACAUUUUCUGAUUAAAAAAAAACUGAUCAGUCAAAAGCAAUGAAGAGAAGUGAUGACAAUGAAUGAUGCUUCCAAUAUUUUCACCCCUUAUAGUGUUCUUCAUGAUUCAGAUAUAUAAUUGGAAAUAGAACAACCCUAUGCCAUACAUUCGUCUAAGUAUGGUGUCUAAUUUUUUGUGUCAGCGGUUGCGAAUGGAGCGUGCAAAAGUCCAAAUUGGCGUCUCUCCAUUUCCACAUAGGAAGGUGACCUUUAUUGACAAAUACCCAAUAUUUGUAGACAUUCCUUAAAUAUCAUAACUUCUUGUUGAUUUGAAAAUCAUUUUUCAACUACCAUGUUUUAAUAAAUAUUUUUUAAAAUGUAUUUUUAUCAAAGUCCACCAUGAUGGAUAAUAUUCACCAUGCAAUAAUUAAUAAAGUACAAACUAAGCGAAAUGAAAAGCAUUUUCUUUGCUUUGAGUUGAUUUUGGUUGCAUUGAGUUGAUUUUGGUUUCAUGGUUUUUUCAACUCUUAUUUUGAUUGGAAGAUGUCAAGAAAAGAAAACAUAAAGAAAAAUUAAAAGGGAAAAAAGAAGAAAAAUAAAAAAAAAUAGAUUUAAAAGUUAAUAAAUUAUUUUUUAUAUUUAUUUUAAUUCAUUUCACUUAUUUUUCUUUUACUAUAUAAAAUUUAAAUAAUUUAAAUUUUAUAAUUAAUUUAAUUACAUUUCAUUUUCUUCUAUAUUUAAAUAUUGGAAAAAUAUUUUACUUAAUAUUUUUUUCUUUAAUUUCUUUGGCAUUUUGGGAACCAAACUUAGCCUUUAAAAUAAAAAACAAAAAAAAAAUGAAAAUAAGGAGGGAAAAGUGAGAAAAGAUAAAAACAAUAUGUAAAGGAUUUGAAAAGUAUUAGUUUGUAAUUACUAUUUGGAUUUCAAUAGUAUUUUAUUUGUCUUUCUAUAUUUCAUGUAAGAGAGAAUUUAAGAUAUUCCCCAAGGCAAAGCAUUAGUUACCUGCAAUCAGUGGUGAUAAGGCUCCAAGCCAAUUUUGGGCCCCAUAUCUUAAGACAGUACAAUUUCCAUUUCAACAUUUCUGAUUUCUCAGAUGUUUCACAUACCACAGAAGAACAUUGUUUGUGAAAAUAUGCAUUUAUGUUGGAUUUUGUAUGCUGUGGGGACUGGGGCAAGGAUCAUAUGGAAGAGUGGUUGACUUUUUCUGUACUUUAACGGUUGAAAUAGGAUAAGCACGGGCAUUUGUGAGGCUUAAUUGAUUUUGAAGCCUGAAAUUGCGUUUCUGUCAUUUUGUCAAAAAAAUGGCAGAUUCCAUACUCAUAUGUUUGGCCUGUGGCCAUGUACAGAUGCCAUUUAGUGACCAGUUUGUAACUGUCAAUCGUUGCGUUUUGACUCUGCCUCAACAACAUCUGCCAUUGACGGGUUUUCAUACUUGCAAAUCAAAUAGUCUUUCGUCCCAUCAGGAAUUUCGGUUUAAAUAUUAUUAAGCAUACGUUUGGCUGACAAUCAUUAUCCAGUUCAUGAUUUGGUUUCUUACCCUUAAUCAAUGGUUUCUAAGUGAAUAUAUGUAGAAGGAAAUCCGAAGUGUAGACAGUAGUAUCGAUAACUCUCAAUAUUCUCUAUAUAAUAGAAUAAACAGCGUCAUAGUGAUCGUCGCCUACAAGCAAGGUACAAAUACCAAAACGAGUGACUCACAUAGACAUCUCCCAACAAGAUGUAGUAGUGACUGACACAUGGACACAAUUAACUCGUAGAAAAGGAUAAGACCAUUGCACAGCAGCUCUUAUUUUACAUACUACUUAUGCUAACCAAAGUCAAUUAGUUGGGAUGGGUGGGAGAUGGAGGUUUGUGCGGUGGCUUGUGGGGCGGAGUUGAUGGCUUCUUUCCAGGAGCUUCUGGCUUUUUCAUCGGAGCUGAAGGAGGCUCAAUCUUAUGAGGCGGCUUGUAUGAGUCUUCUUUACUCUCGACAGGAGGGUGGCCAGGGUUGUGAUCAUAAUGUGGUGGCUUCUCUCCCUUAGGUGGCUUGCCAACUGGGGUUGGUGGCUUGUGUUCAGGAAGUGGUUUCUCUCCCAUGGGAGGUUUAGCAAUUGGGGUUGGUGGCUUGUGUUCUGGGAGUGGCUUCUCUCCCUUGGGAGGUUUAGUAGGUGACUUGUGUUCUGGAGGUGGCUUCUCCACCGGAGGCUUGUGCUCCGGUGGUGGCUUCUUGGUUGGAGGGGGCUUGGGGUAAUCAGCAAGAGAUGGGGUGGUGAGAACCACCAGUCCAAGGAACAACACUAGCAAGUAUGUGGGAGACAUUUUUGAGUUUGGGCUGAUCAGAUGAUGCAAAACUAAAGCAUUACGUGACCUUUUAUAGCAUGUAGCUCCCAAUACCCACUAAGUAUUGUGGGGUCCAUUUGUGCCCUACGGGGUUGAAAACUUAGACAAUUGGGCAAGGACCCACCUGACUAUGGAGGACUAGUGAGGUGUGAUCAUAGCUUUAGGAUUUUUCUUCCUCUGCAGCCGUCGUGCCGUUGGCAUGAUUUUCUUAAUCUUAAAUAAAGGCAUAGUUAUAGAGUUGUUUAAUCUCUAAAUGGGAUUUUAUAUAUAUCUUCAGAUAGCCAUUAAUAUAUUUGAUGAAGAAAGAAAGACAAGUGCAUACAACAUGUAUACGACUAGCUUUCAUGGAGUUCAUUUAUGAUCAGUUUUCCUGUACAUGUAAACCAGGAUCAUAUAUAUGUUUCUGUUCCACAACUAUUUUGGAAUCUUGUUUAUCAGUUUUUAUCAUUAUAAUGUCACAUAGGCUGCCAACUUGGGCGCUAAAAGAACCAGUUGGGCUAGUUCGUUUCAGAAUUUCAAUGUGGAUUCAGGAAUUGUUUUGUAAGAUAUGCGAAAUAGUAGAGGGAUGAAUAGUGUUUCAUUAAUAAAAGUGUCCUGUAAAUUAGAAGGUGUCAUAGAAACUAUAAUCAAUAAAUAACUUUUUUUCCCCACGGGUGGUGUUUCUUGUGGGGAUCAGUGACUGGUUUAGGUUCACCCAAAAUGAGUUCAGACUAAAAUUGGUUUGAGUCAAUGCCGUGUCUCUUUUUUCCAGAAAUCAACUAUUUUAUGCAUUGAAUAAAUCAUACAAAGAAAAUAUGAACGCCCGCAAAACCUAAACCCUGGUUGCUAACUUUCUAUGUUUCAGUUCUAUUCACGCAAGAAUAUUAGUUUAAGUUUGGGAAAAAUGGCAACUUACCUAGUGAUUACUUGGUUUUGGUUUGCGACUAUUUACGCAACCAACCAUGAGUUUGACUUUAACGUCAUGGGUUGAAGCCUCCUACAGGAAGGGAGAAAGCUCCACAGCUAGCUCCAAAAGAGAAUUAUCACAUUGAUAGCUCCAGAGAUUCCCAAGGGGACUGAAUCAAAGACAAGUUCCUCACUUUUUCUUCUUUUGAGGCCAAAUAUGAACCAAGGAUCACACAACCUCAUUCAACUUCAUAAGUUUGAUUUCAUGCAGUUGAACACUGGGUGAAGGCCAUGACAAGAAUUGAUUCAAAAAUUCUAUCACUCUUUUAAGUAAUGGAAGAUUAUUAUCUCUGAUUGGCAUCACAACAGCACAUGCUCCUAGAUCUUUCUAGACACUCCAUGCAAUGAAAGCACAAUGGAUCUUGUAACGAUAGAAACUAAGCCAUGCUACAGUACUAGAUGAUGAGGUAAAACUAGUAGACACGGGUGGCAGCCUAUAUGGGAGGGACACAAGUCUAAUUGAUUUGCAUUUCAGCAUUAUAGAUAGGUAUGUUUUGGAAGAUUUGUUCUGGAAAUACCGCACCAAGUAGGAUUCUUUUUCUCUUUAGUGGGUCCACUUGCAUGCCAAUUAACGAGUUGAAAAGUAUGAGCACCUACCUCGUGCUCGUGGAACCGAAGGUCAGUGAAGUGGGGCUCCUUUUGGCCUCGUGUAAACUUGAUUCAGAAGUGAAGUUAAUAGUCUUCCAUUCAGAUGGAUACAUGGGAAUUUUUCUCUUUUAUUUAUUUAUUUAUUUUUUUUUUGUGUGUGUAUGUCAAAGGAUAAUGAAUGAAGCGCGUUAGCUUGUUUUCUGACUGGAACCGCAGAUGUCCAAAUUGGAGUUCCUUCAUUUCUUACUUAGGAUUGUUACAUGUAUAAACAAGGUAUAAGAAAUAUGCCAACGUGUCUUGAGGAGUUAUUGAUUAGAAAUAACAAGUCACCCGACUGUAGAGUUCCAAGAUUUGAAUCUUCAGACCCUAUAGCAGCCUCUGGGGUACGUGGCAUCCUAUAGCAUAUUAAUGAAGGCUUUUUCGAUUUAGACUUCACAAUACCAAUUAAUAUGUAUGCACAAAAUGGAGAUGACCCCAAAAAAAACAGAAUCGCCAUAGUUUAUGAGGUUAAGGUGAUUCUCCACUUAAUAUCUACAUUAGCUAAUUAUGUAAAUCAAAUGAACUUCUAUUUUUCCUUUUUUUUUUUGGUUUAUGUCAAAUAGUAGCCCAUAAUUAACCCAACCAUUAGCCUGUUUGAAUUGAUUUCACAUGCACAAUGUUGUAGUAGUUCAUAUUUUGAAUUUUAUUUUUACAAAGGUAGUUAAGGAAAAUGAAGUAUAAUAAUUAUAAAAGCAGACUAUAUACACUACAAUAAUUGUUAGAAUGGUAUCUCAAAUUCUAAUUUAAAAUAUUAUUUUUUGUAAAAGAAAUAUUAUAUAGAAUAUUUCCUAAUUUUAUAAAUGAUUAUAAUUAGAUCUUUAUAAAAUAAGGAAAGUUGGUAAGAAUAUCUUUAUAAAUAUUUUAGGUCAUGAGAGAAAGAAAUGGGAUAAAAAUGUGAUGAAGAGGUGAAAUAAGAGAGUUGAUUAGGAUAUAGAUGUGAAGAAGAAAGGGAUUCAAUAUAUAUAUAUCUUUCAAUUACCACAUUAAAACCCUGUGAACCUUUUAUAUGGUUUACUUUAUUUUUAUAUUCCUCCUUUAAUAUAUUUACAUUAAUGCUUCCAUUGGCACAACAAUAACGAAUUACAAAUACAAGCAACAAGUCCCAUGUUUUAUUACCAAAAGCAGGUAAAAUCCACCUAAUAUAUUACAAUAUAUUCAUCCAAUAUUUUAGACCAAUUCUUCACCAUAAAUAUCAUAAUGUGGCUUUUGUUCUUUCUUAAAUUUAAAUUGAAUUGUCUUAUAUCAAUUUGUUUGUGAUUUUUUCAUUAACUUCACUUUCAUUUGGUUAUCUUUGGUUUUUGAAAAGUAUUAAGGAAUUAAUUAACAAAAUAAUGUUAAGAAAAAUAAUUUUCUCUCUUUUGAUUUUGAUUUUGUAGUAGAAAAAUAUAAUUAAAAUUAUUUAAAAAGUAUGUAAUUUUAAAUUAUUUAAUAUUUAGAUAAAAAAAAUAAGUCUAAUGAGUUUAAAAUAACAUAUAAAAAUAAUUUAUUUAUUUUAAAUUUAUUUUUUAUUUUCCAUUAUGUUCUCUUUCUCUUUUACUUUUUCAUAUUUUUUCUUACGAAGAAUCAAACACAACCUCAUAUUAUAUGUCAAGUGUUUGUCUAUAUUUGAGCAAUGUUAGAUACGGCCAUGGAUUCAUCAAACUAAACUGAUUUUAAUAGAUACUUCACAAAUUGAUUUAUACACUAAAUCAUUGGAUAGCAAUGAUGCAUUGGAAUUAAACGUAGGAUGAAGCUCGAAGAACACUGUUUGUGUAACAACAUAUUUAUGAAAUUAUGCAAAGGAUGAGCUUCGGGGUAGUAGUACAAGGUCAUUAAUGGAGAGCCGUGUUAAACCUUGAUUGUGAUUGGAUUCCGUUAUCAGCAACAGCAACCUUGUUUGUAACCUUGAAAGUCAUUCUGUCCACAUCGAAACUCCAAUUUGACGUUUGUAAUUACCAUUCCUGGAGUGUUCCUUGAUUGAAAUUUAAAUAAUAAUUGCGGCCCACAAGGAAUAUUUUCGAUUCUGUGGGAAUUUGACAAGGUUUGUUAGAGAAGACUGGUGACAUGUUGACUUCAAUGGUUCAAAUAGGAGACGUAUGUGGAUUUGGGGGGUUUAAUUGAAACUGAGUCCCUAUGGCUUUUUAAUAUUUGCAUUGAGCAGUCUCCAUGUGACUUCCUAAUUCCCACCAACCCUCCUGUCCAUGCUGUGAAACUAAAUUGUAAUUUAUCAGCCUUUGUCAAUGGUUUCUAAAUUAAAGAUAUAGACCAUGCAUGUACUUUAAUAAAAGCAAAUCUAAAGUGUAGAUAGCAGCAAUGGUGACACCCAAUAUUCUCCAUAAAAUAGAAUUAGAAUAAGCAGUGUUACAUUGUUCAUGAUCACCUACAAGCAUACAAGAACUUCCAUGAAUAACUCAUAGCAAUUGCCAACAGGGCGUCGUAGAGACUCAUACAUAGAACACUAUCCACCCAGAGGAAAGGACAAGACCAGUGCGCUGCAGCUCUUAUUUUUCACAUGUAUACCACCACUCGUAAUAACCAAAUUCACUCAGUUGGGAUAGGUGGGAGAUGGUGGUUUGUGGGGUGGCUUGUGGGGAGGAGUUGGAGGAGGCUUUAUUUUCUGAGGCGGCUUGUAUGAGUGUGCAGGAGGAUGCCCGGGAGUGUGACCAUAAUGUGGUGGCUUCUCUCCCGUAGGUGGUUUGCCAAAUGGGCUUGGUGGCUUCUCUCCCUUAGGAGGUUUACCAAUUGGGGUUGGUGGCUUGUGUUCUGGGAGUGGUUUCUCUCCCUUGGUAGGUUUGCCAAUUGGGGUUGGCGGCUUAUGUUCUGGGAGUGGCUUCUCUCCCUUGGGAGGUUUGCUAAUUGGGGUUGGCGGCUUAUGUUCUGGGGGCGGCUUCUCUCCCUUGGGAGGUUUGCCAAUUGGAGUUGGCGGCUUAUGUUCUGGGAGUGGCUUUUCUCCCUUGGGAGGCUUGCCAAUUGGGGUUGGCGGCUUAUGUUCUGGGGGUGGCUUCUCUCCUUUAGGAGGUUUGCCAAUUGGAGUCGGCGGCUUAUGUUCUGGAAGUGGCUUUUUUCCCUUGGGAGGUUUGCCAAUUGGGGUUGGCGGCUUAUGUUCUGGGGGUGGCUUCUCUCCCUUGGGAGGUUUGCCAAUUGGAGUCGGCGGCUUAUGUUCUGGGAGUGGCUUCUCUCCCUUGGGAGGUUUUGUUGGUGGCUUGUGUUCUGGAGAUGGCUUCUCCCCUGGAGGCUUGUGCUCCGGAGGUGGCUUCUGAAAUGGCGGGGGCUUGGGGUAAUGAGCAAGAGAUGGAGUACUGGUGAGAACCACCAUUCCAAGCAACAAUACUAGCAA
rnacentral:lncRNA from 1 species